rnacentral:lncRNA from 1 species
CCAAAAUGUCACUCCUCAUUAAUAUAAUUCUUAUCACAUACUAGCACUAUCAUUCAUUUAACUUUGAUGCCUAUAUAAUAUUUUUAUUCCAUCUUAUAUAAUACUUAAUCUAAUAAUAAAUUUUUUUAAGCUUCAUACUUAUCUAAUAAUAUUUAUCUUUCGACGCUUCAUAAAAUAUUGUCAUCUUUUUAAUUUUUAUAAUAUGCAUCGUUUUCUAAUUAUAAUAUCUCCUUGCCUAUCAUACGCGUGAUUAAUCUCCUUCACUACAACAAAAACGGUCUAUAGCGACACUUUUAAAUGUCGGUACAGGUCAAAAAAAAGUGUUGCUGGCUAAAUUACCGACACUUUUAAAAAGUGUUGCUAUAUGUGGGGUCGCUAGGUAUAUAGUGACAGUUAAAGAAUGUCGCUAUAACCUAAAAAGAGUGCUGCUAAUUUACCAACACUUAUUUAAGCAUUUAGCAACUGCCGGAACUCUACCUCGUUGGCUACGGUGGCAGAGGAGGACGAGAGGAAGGGAUCUUCGUCUAGGAUUUCAGUCGAUUGAGUGAGGGGAGAAGGGGAAAUGGUAAUCGAUUUUUCUUUUCUUUUUUUUUUCUGUUUGUAAUCGGAUCGAAUGGACUGGGUGGGGUGGGUUGAGUAGAGUAACAUUUUAUUUUUUGUUGGAUUGGACUUUAUAUUUAGGCAUUAGUAGUUUUUUUUUUAAGUUUUGGCAUAAAUGGGACACUUACACAAAAGUGUCCCAAACAUAUGUCCCUAUAACCUAAUUCUGUUGUAGUGAGCUUCCUCCUAUUCGCUUCUAUUCCUUCCAUACAUUAUAUUCGCUUUUCUCUCCAUACCUCCUCCUAUUCGCUUCUUUCUCUAUUCCUUCCAUACCUUCUUUGUGUGGAUACAUUGAAUGUGGUUAAAAAGUUACAUUUUAUUCUAACCCUUUAUUUUAUUUUAAUUUUAUGUUUUACUACUGUAAUAACCUAUCUCAUAUUUGCUUCUCUGAUCCCUAUUCCUUCCACAACUCUGCCGCGAUCUAUGUCAUCAUCUAUGUCGUCCCGCGAUCUAUGUCGUCAUCUAUGUCGUCGUCUUUUCCUAUUCCUUCCACAACUUCUCUGCCGCAAUCUAUGUGUAAGUCAUCGUCAUCAUUGCACUUCAUUAUCUUCGUCAUUGCUAGCAUGUCAUCUUCGUCUACAGGUAGUGACAGAAAGAACGAAAUUUUCCUGAAAUAAUAAUUAAAAAUUUACAUUUUAUUCUAGCUUUUUUUUUUGUUAAAUGAUAAAAUAAUGAUGACAUUUUCAGUUUACUUCAGUUAUAGUUAUAAGUUUUGUAUUUUUUUAUGAUAAUAUAAUUUUAUUUUUAUUACUAUCGUUAUUUUGAUAAUGAUAAAAUACAUUACAUCAAAAUUAUAUAUUUAUUUCUAAAUAUUUUUAUUUUCGGUAAUUUUAUACAGCGUGCAUUGCACAUGCAUAUACUAGUUGAGUGUACGCGAAAAUGCAUGUAACAAUUAUUUUAGUUUAUUUUAAAUUAAUAUAAAUUUAUACAUUAUAUUUAUUUAAAAUUUACAAUAAAAAAUAUAUUUUAUAAAUUCAUAUGUUAUAUUUUAUUAAAAAAUAUUUGAAAUAUUCUAUAUUUUCUUUUUUAUAUAUAUUAAAUAUUUUUAUUUAUUUUUUGAUUUUUGAUGAAUCUAAAAUUUGAGUAUGUAUCUUAAACUAAAAGCAUCAAAAUUUAAUUCAUGUUUAUUUCAAAAUUUAAAAUUUAAUUCUGAUCCACAAUAGUUAAAAUUGUUUAAUUGUUAUUUUAAAUUUGAUAUAUAAACUCAAAUUUAAAUUUUAAUGUAAAAUUAAUAGAUGGAAAGAAUAAAAAAUAUUUUUAUUUAUUUAAAAUUCUAUAUUUUAUAAAUUCUAUAUUUUAUACAUUAUAUUUAUUUAAAAUUUACAAUAAAAAAUAUAUUUUAUAAAUUCAUAUGUUAUAUUUUAUUAAAAAAUAUUUGCAAUAUUCUAUAUUUUCUUUUUUUAUAUAUAUUAAAUAUUUUUAUUUAUUUUUCGAUUUUUGAUGAAUCUAAAAUUUGAGUAUGUAUCUUAAACUAAAAGCAUCAAAAUUUAAUUCAUGUUUAUUUCAAAAUUUAAAAUUUAAUUCUGAUCCACAAUGGUUAAAAUUGUUUAAUUGUUAUUUUAAAUUUGAUAUCAAAAAUUAAAUUUAAUUCACGAUUUAAACUCAAAUUUAAAUUUUAAUGUAAAAUAGAUGGAUAAAAGUGCUUUUUUUAACAAGUUAAUCAUAACCGUUCAUUUUUUCAAAUAUUUUUAACAAAUUGAUCAUAAUCACUUGUAGAAUUGAAUUUAUUGAUGGAUAUGGAUGUUAUAUUUUUAACAGAUUUAUCAUAACUGUUCGUUCUUACUUGAGAUAUUUUUUAACAAAUUGAUUGUGACCGUUUAUAGGAAAUAUUUUUUUUAUUCUUUUUUAAUUUCGUCUGUCAUUCUUAUAUGUUUGUAUAUAUAAUAUAGAUUGAUGAUAACCGUUUGUAGUGAACAUUUUUUUAUUCUUUUUUGAUUUCGUCUAUUAUUUCUAUAUGCUUCUAUAUAUAGUAUAGAUNCGCUCAUGCCAGUUGGACUUGCUCUCCACGGACCAGUUAGAGUGGAUAGAGCCCGAUAGUCGCAACGGGGCAGGGACGGGUGUAUUCACAGUCCCGGGGACGGGUAUGCUUACAGUCCCGAUUGGAUUGGGUCAGAUUUGACAUUUCCUACAGUUGGUUAGUGUAGAGCAUGAUAGUGUAGUGGAUGAUAGCGGUAGAGUAUGCUUCCUGCUUUCCUUCUAUCCUUGCUCCCUUCUGUAGACUUAGUGGGUGGCCGAUGUUUGUUUUUGGCGGUGCCCACUGAGGACUACUUGUUUUUACAGUAGUUCUCACGCCCAGUUGUUACCUAUGUUUUUGCAGAGCCACAGGUUCCGGCUGCUGCACCGUCUGCGGACCAGGAUCGAGGCAAGGGCGUCGCGAGUUAGAGCCCUACCCGACGUGCUGAGCUAGAGGUGCCCUUCUGCAGGUAGAGGUUUUGUUUCGAGUUUAUGUACAUAGUUGACUUAACUCGCCAGUGCGAGUAGCUCUGUAUUUUUGGAUCCGAACUAUGUAUAUGAAACUCUGUUUUAUUUAGCUUCAGUUUUCUCUAGCAGCUCUCUACUACUGUUUGUAGUAGUGUUUGAUUUACAGGUACAACUAUCGCUUCGUAUACAGGGAAAAUUUCUUUGUAUACGGCGGAUUUGUCGGCGUACCCGGGGAACGUGUAAUCCGGGGCGUGACAACCCUUGUAUCAAUAAUUAAUUAUAGGAUUAGAAUGAUAGUUAAUGAUUUUGCUAGAGCAAUUAUAUUAAUCGAGGGAAUCGAAAUGGUAAAAAUAUUUGAUCCAAGAAUUAAAAAAUUAACAUGAGUGUAUUUGCGUGCGGAAGAAAGAGCCAAAAUAGAUUAAUGCCUCGCUUGUUAGUUAAUUGGUACGAAAUUUUACGGAACAAACAAUUAAAAUGGCGACCGUUUCGUCACGCAAUUCUGCAUGUGAGUGGCGAAGGUCACGUAAUUUCUCACGCAUUUAUGGAAAAGAAGGAAAGGACAAGAGAGAGAAUUUAUUGCUACUUUCUCUUUGUUGCUACGUACCCCUCAUUCGUUCUUUUAAAUUAAUAUCUACGAUAUAUCCGUUUCGUGUAUCACUGUUGAAGAUUUUGAUAGAUCAGCUGAAGCUUCUCCUAAAUUUCAACAUUCUUUCUCCGCUCAUUUAUGGUCUUCUUCUGCAGGAAGAAAUGUGGCUGCAGAGAUGAAGUCAUCUUCGAAAGUUACAAGCCAAAAUGGCCCGAGUUUGGAGAUAAUAUUUUAUAUACCUAGUAGUUUGGACAGGAACAGUAGGGACAGGAACAGUAACCCUAAAUUAUUAUUAAAAUUUUCCUGAUUAUAAAUAAUUCUAAUUUUCAAACUAACAAUUUAUCAUGAGUUUGUGUGUAGAGAACCCAUAAGUGAAAAAACUCAAAUGACGAAAUGUAAAAAGAGUCGACGAGCAACUUAUUUGCAGAAACUCUUUAUACUUUUCAGAUUAAAGGACCUUAAUUUAAUUUAUUUAGAGCUUAAAUUUCUUAAAUAUUUCAUUUAUAUCUAAGGUUGAAAAUUUUGAAUUGUGUUGUAAAUGUUGCAAUCUAAAGACAUACAUGAACCAGAAUGCAUACAUGAUCUUAAUAAAUGCUGAAAGAAAAUGCCAAAAUUCUUUUUGUCAAAGUCCAAAGAUAUCAAAACUCUUCAAAGUAUGUUUGAGCAGCCAAAAAUUAUUCCAGGGCACUCGAAAGUCUGGAAUUUGAAUUUGAAUUUAAUAACUAAGUUGCAUGCUUAGCUUUUCGUUCAGAAGUAGAAAUGAUGACUCGGGCUUAUUCGAAUGUUUGAAUGUUGUUUUAAUUGGAUGCCCGAUAUUCAAGGGUUGCAUAUAUAUAUAUAUAUAUAUAUAUAUAUGUUAAUCCUUUUUUUGUAUAUAGCUGUGAAAUAAUUAGGCCCAUGGAUUCAGACGCUUGAUCAAACAUUAUUCUGAGUGCCCGAAACUGCACUGCAUUAAUUUAGUCAAAAGAGCUGUUGGCGCUAAAUAAUUACGAAAGCGGCCAAGAACUUGAAAAUGGUUUUGGAAGCCCAACAUGUACAACAGAAUUAUUAUAACGAGUAAAUUAUGAAUUUUGACUAUAAAUAAGGAACUUUGUUACUUCAAAUUAAUAGAGCUUGCUUGCUGAGCUUGAAAUUAUUGUAACUUAAAUCUCCACAUUGGCUUUAAGUUGGCGUGAAUUAUAUCGUAAGAUAAAUACUGCAAAAGAGAGAAAAUAAGAGAAAAUAUUAAUUGUAAUUAUGAGAUCUUCUUGUGAAGAUGAAGAAUUUGUCAUCAUGUUCCAUUUAUUUCGAUUAAUAUAUAUACACAUUCUUUAAUUGUCAUAAAAUAUAUUGAAAAAUUAUUUUUUUUUUUGUUUUAUAGAAUUUCAAUAAGGGUAUCAUGCAUUGGUGCAUGCAUGGGGAGCAUGCAAUAUGUUCUGCCAAGUACAAUACCAUUUGAACUGGGAUUGCAGUUUUUCCUGAAAUUGUCAUGAUUGACAAAUUUUGACCUAUUCCCGUCAGAGGAUGGUGACCUAUCUAGUCUAGUAUUUAAAGGGCAAUUAAUGUUUUCAAAAAUUCGAUCUCAAGUUUGACAUGUAAACUCAAAAUCCGAAUGCGAAUCCCUACGUGGCGACGAAUGUUUAAAAAUUUAUAUCUAAAAUCGAAAUCGACUAAAAAUUUAAAAUCCAAAUCCGAAAAGUGAAUCUGAAACAACCAUUUCUUCUUAUCAUAUUCUAUAUAUUAAAUAGUACAUUUCUCUUAUACUCUGUCUCCUUUUAUUUAUAUUUCUUUAAAUAUAUUAUUAUUAUUUUUCAUAUUUAUAAUUUUGAGAAACUAUCUAAUUAACAAUGAGUUAUUACAAAAUUUUUCUUUAAACAAAUAUUCUGGUAAAAUUAUUUAACUAGAUAUCAUUAAUAUAUAUAACAUAUUAUGUUUUAAUAAUUUCAAUCAUUUAAUACUCAUAUUGUUGAUUUGUUGGUCAUUUACACACACACAUAGAUAUAUGUUUGUAUAAAAGGUUAUUUCACAUUUGUAGCAAUUUAAACCACUUUUAGUUAAAUUAAUUAUUUAUUUGAAUUAAUUUUAGCCCUUAAUUUGAGUAAUUAAUUAUAUGAAAAUGUAUAAAAAUUAGUAUAAAGUUUACUAUUAAAAUAUUUUAUAUUCACAGCAUCGCGCGGUUUGUUACUAGUAUUAUAUUAAAAUCUAAAUAUUUAAAUUAUAAAUUCAAAUAUAAAAUCAAAAAUUUAUAUAUAUUGUAUUAUAUAAAGAGGCAUUAAGUUUAUUCGAAUUUGGAUUGGGUACAAAUAAAAUCCAUAUCCAAAUACGAAUUUGUUGGACUUUCAUUUUUUUAUACCCAUAUUUGAAACUAUAUUUAUUUAUUAACAGAUAAAUCCAUACCAUUCGGAUUCGGCCUCAGAUAAAAAUAUUAUCCGCACUCAUUGACAUUCCUAAUGUAUAUGCCUUAUGCAUGUGAAUUUUGUGUGUGUGUGUGUGUGUGUGUGUUUUGUUUGUUUGUUUGUUUUAAUUCAUUUAAAACGCGCGGGCCAUAUUGACAGUGAAGUCAAAACUACAAAUCCGGGCCAAACGUACUAUCAAUUACUGUCACUAGUACCAGUACAAUGAAGGGGGUGUUUGGCUUAAAUUUUAAAAAAUAAUUUUAAGGUCAAAAAUGAUUUUCUUUUAGGAGAGUGUUCUGAAAUAAAAUCUGAUUCUGAUUUUUAAAAGAAGAUCUAAUUUUAGAGGCACGAAAAUUAGAAACAACUAAAGAAGAUCGAUCUGAUUCCCAAAAAAUUUAAAAAUUAAAAUCUUAAAAUUUAAAAAUUUUAAAUCUAAAUUUUGAAAUUUAUAUUUAUAUUCUAAUUUUAAAUUUGUAAAUUUUAAAAUUAUAUCUGAAAUUUUAAAUUUUAAAUUGCAAAAUUUUAAAAUACUAAUUUAGAUUUUAAAUUUUUAAAUUUCAAAUUUUAAAUUUGAUUAUGAAGUUUAAAUUUAGGUUUUAAUAUAAAAUUUGAUCCCAAAAACUUUGCCAAACACCUUUAGUGAAAAAAAUGCUAUACCCAAACUUGUGUCUUGAUUAAUUAAUAGGAAAGAAGCCUAAAGAUUUUCUUAGGAUUCACUACUCAUAUGUAUGAUAAAAAUCAGAUGAGUUAUGUCAUGAGAAAUGAUUCGGUACUUUUUAAAAAAGAAAAUAAAAAAAAUCUUAACCGUUGAUUAAUAGUGGGCAAAAAUGUAAUUUUNAUAUAUAUAUAUAUAUAUAUAUAUAUAUAUAUAUAUAUUGUAUUAUAUAAAGAGGCAUUAAGUUUAUUUGAAUUUGGAUUGGGUACAAAUAAAAUCCAUAUCCAAAUACGAAUUUGUUGGACUUUCAUUUUUUUUAUACCCAUAUUUAAAACUAUAUUUAUUUAUUAACAGAUAAAUCCAUACCAUUCGGAUUCGGCCUCAGAUAAAAAUAUUAUCCGCACUCAUUGACAUUCCUAAUGUUUAUGCCUUAUGCAUGUGAAUUUUGUACAUGUGUGUGUGUGUUGUUUGUUUGUUUGUUUUAAUUCAUUUAAAACGCGCGGGCCAUAUUGACAGUGAAGUCAAAACUACAAAUCCGGGCCAAACGUACUAUCAAUUACUAUCACUAGUACAAGGGGGUGUUUGGCUUAAAUUUUUAAAAAUAAUUUUAAGGUCAAAAAUGAUUUUCUUUUAGGAGAGUGUUCUGUAAUAAAAUCUGAUUCUGAUUUUUAAAAGAAGAUCUGAUUUUAGAGGCACGAAAAUUAGAAACAACUAAAGCUUUCUUCAUAAAAUAUGAUUCCCAAAAAAUUUAAAAAUUAAAAUCUUAAAAUUUAAAAAUUGUAAAUCUAAAUUUUGAAAUUUAUAUUUAUAUUCUAAUUUUUAAAUUUGUAAAUUUUAAAAUUAUAUCUGAAAUUUGAAAUUUUAAAUUGCAAAAUUUUAAAAUACUAGUUUAGAUUUUAAAUUUUUAAAUUUCAAAUUUUAAAUUUGAGUAUGAAGUUUAAAUUUAGGUUUUAAUAUAAAAUUUGAUCCCAAAAACUUUGCCAAACACCUUUAGUGAAAAAAAUGCUAUACCCAAACUUGUGUCUUGAUUAAUUAAUAGGAAAGAAGCCUAAAGAUUUUCUUAGGAUUCACUAAAAAUCAGAUGAGUUAUGUCAUGAGAAAUGAUUCGGUACUUUUUAAAAAAGAAAAUAAAAAAGAUCUUAACCGUUGAUUAAUAGAGGGCAAAAAUAUAAUUUUAAUAUUUAGCAGGUAAAAGGAUUAUUUUAUUCAAGGUUAGUUUUGUAAUUAAACAAUACAACAUUUAAAGAAACUUUUAAUUGAGGUCCUAAAUUUAGGCAUUAAUUUGCACUAAUUUAGGAAAUUAAUUGAUUAACCAAAUUUAUGCAUUAAUUAGGCAUAAAUUUAGGCAUCUACUUUAAAUGUUUUAGUGUUUCUAAAAUUAUGCAUUAAUCUAAAUUAUAGGAAUUUUAGAAAUAGUUCUAUUUCUAAAUACGAUGAAUUUAAAUUUUAAAUAUUAAAUAUUUAAAAUUUAAAAGUGAAAUUUAAAUUAGAGGAAUUUUGCAUUACUAUUUAAAAAAAUUGUAAUGUUGGUAAAUAUUUUAAUUCAACAUAUUUAAUAUACUUAAAAAACUUUUAAAUUCCUAUAGUUUAGACAUUAAUUUUGUAUCACUUAUUGAAAAAAUUUUGAAUGUACGUGAAAUAAUUUAUAAUUUAAAUGUAUUUAAUAUGUUAAAAAAAAUUAGAGUUGUUCUAGUACUUUAGACAUUAAUUUUGUAUAACUAUCUAAAAACAUUUGUAAUGUUGGUAAAUAUUUAAAUUUAACAUAUUUAAUACGUUUAACAAAAUUAUAAAUUCAUCUUAGUCAUUAAUUUUGUAUACUAAUUUUAAAAAAUUAAAUGUGGGCAAAUAUUUAAAUUCAAAAUAUUUAAUCACAAAAUAAUCUAAAUUUCAUUCUUAUUUUAUUAAAAAAAGAUUUAGAAAGCAAUAGGUAUGGAAAGAAAUUUUAAUGCAUAGUUUCUUAAAAUCAAACUGGUUUGAAAUAUUAAACAAAUAAACAAAGAGAAAAGAAAAAUUAAAAGAUCAUAUUGUCAAAUAAUUUGAAAAUUUUUUUAUAUGAAAUGCCACAUUAUGAAAGGAAAGAUAGAGAGAGAAAAAGUAAACAGAGAGAAAAUAAAAAUUUUGAAAAUAUAGUAAAGAUAAAAUAACUAAAUUGCCCAUGUAUUAAAAGACAAAAAUACUCUUUUUUGAGGUACCUGGUAAUCGGUACCUCUCCUAAAGUGACCUGCAUUUGCAGGUCACAAUUUUAAAAAAGUUAAAUCUGAACCGUUGAAUAUGCGUAAAUUAGCGGUAACGGAAAAAAAAAAAUUAAAGUAUAGAAGCAUUACUCUUAGGAUGCGUUUGGUUCAGGUUAUCCUAACAGGAUUAUAGGCAAUCAUAUCAGGAUUACCGUGUUUGGUUCAUCCAGUAUAUAAUCGGGUCGUUAAUAUAGCAUUACAAAUGUUGCAGGAUUGCACUAAAAAUAUUAACGAGAGGGGGAGUGUAUCUUGCAUUACUGAAAACCAAUAAUACUGCAUAUUAUGUAAAAUGAUAAUUUUACCCCCCUAACUUCCGAAACUCUUUCAAUACAAUACAUCAUUUUAAAAAAUUUAAUUUAAAAUUUUGAAUUGUUAACUUUUAAAUUUUUAAUUUUUAAUUUUAAAAUUUAAAUUUUUAAAUUUUAAAUUUAAAUUUUUAAACUUCAAAUUUAAUUUUAAAUUUUAAAUUUAAAUUUAAAUUUUAGAUUUUAAUUUUAUAUUUAUAUUCAUUUUUAUAUUUUAUAUUUUAAAUUUAUAAAUUUCAUAUUUAUAUUUUAAAUUAAAAUAUUAAAUAAACUUAAAAUUUAAAAUUUAAAUUCAAAUUUAAAAUUUAAAUUUAAAUUUUAAGUUUAAAAAUUUAAAAAUUCAAAACUAAAAUUCAAAUUUUAAAAUUUAAAAGUUGUCAAUUCAAAAUUUUAAAUUAAAUUUUUUAAAAUGACGUAUUGAAAAUGUUUCGGGAGUUAGAGGGGUAAAAUUAUCAUUUUACACAAUUUGCAGUAUUUCUUUCUUUCAGUAAUGCAAGAUACACAUCCCCGUCUUGUUAAUAUUUUUGGUGUAAUUCUGCACUAUUUGUAAUGCUAUAUUAACGACUCGAUUAUAUGCCGGAUGAACCAAAUACGGUAACCCUGACAAGAUUGUCUGCCAGGAUAACCCGAACCAAACGCACCCUUUUGUCAUUUGCACGAGGAGUAAUGGGAAAGACAACAAACCAUGAGAUUAUAGAAAAAUCAAAAGCAUAUCUCCUUAAUUGGAGUACGUACGUUUAGAAAUUACUCUGAAACCAUGUUAGUGAAUAGUGAAAGUCGGACCUAAUAUAAAAUAACGCAAUGUCUGAACAAAAUACCAAAAAAUUUGAGUUGUAGUAGUUAAUUACUAGACUUUUCAAACAGUACUCUAGAUUGCAUUCAAAGAUAGCACCAUUCAUAUUUGAUUCCAUGGCAUUAAUUAGCUUCCUAGUACGUACAAUCAGAUAUCAAUAUAUAGAGCAAUCCUACUCUUCCAAAUAUCUUAUAUAAUUAAUUAAUUAAAAGCAUUCAUACUAACUGUACCAAUGUUUUUUUUUUUUUUUUUUGAGAGAAAGGUAGCAUGCUACCGCUUCGUUUAUUUCAUUUAGAAAUAAGCAGCAGCUUUUUAACUCAAAAAUAAAUCAAAAGUCAAUGUUUUCGGGACAAGUUUGGCGGGAACUGGUUAACAAAAAUUUGAUCGCAAGCGACAAAGGGCUUGGUAGUUGGUACUUAAGAUUUCAAAUUCGAAGUCUCAUUGAUUCAAUUUUCAGUUUAAUUAAUUUUCUAAAAAAAAUAAACGAAACGGACAAUAUGCUACCUUCCUCUCUCUAAAAAAAGAAAUUCAAAAAGCUUGGUGGUUGGUAGCUGAGGCUCCAAGCUCAAAAAAAACGAAAUUAGUAACAUGCUAUCUCUCUCUCUCUCUCUCAAAAAAAAAAAGAAAAAAAAAAAGAAAAAGAAAAAGAAAUUCGACCUAGAUGGGCUGGCUAGAUGCCAAUCUCACUACGAGGUUGGAUAGAUAAUCAUUCAUUCCGAUUUCUAUGCCGACUAAAAACUAAUUAACCAACCAAACUAACAAAAUUGAUUAUCGAAUUCUGAUUGCUAUUGGGAUUCCAUUUAAUUUGUUAGUGAGAUCGAUCUAUUCAUUGAUCAGGCCAUCUUUGGCCCCCUCACGAGUGCAUUUACAUGCACAUGCACAUGCACNCUUAAAAUUAAACUCGUUUGAAAUAUUAAACAAAUAAACAAAGAGAAAAGAAAAAUUAAAAGAUCAUAUUGUCAAAUAAUUUGAAAAUUUUUUAUAUGAAAUGCCAAAUUAUGAAAUGCCAAAUUUAAAAGAUCUUUUUUGAGGUACCUGGUAACCGGUAUCUCUCCUAAAGUGACCUGCUAUUGCAGGUCACAAUUUUAAAAAAGCUAAAUUUGAGCCAUUGAAUACGCGUGAAUUAGCGGUAACGAAAAAAAAAAAAAAAGUAUAGAAGCAUUACUCUUAUGUCAUUUGCACGAGGAGUACUAGGAAAGACAACAAACCAUGAGAUUAUAGAAAAAUCAAAAGCAUAUCUCCUUAAUUGGAGUACGUUUAGAAAUUACUCUGAAACCAUGUUAGUGAAUAGUGAAAGUCGGAUCUAAUAUAAAAUAACGCAAUGUCUGAACAAAAUACCAAAAAAUUUGAGUUGUAGUAAUUACUAGACUUUUCAAACAGUACUCUAGAUUGCAUUCAAAGAUAGCACCAUUCAUAUUUGAUUCCAUGGCAUUAAUUAGCUUCCUAGUACGUACAAUCAGAUAUCAAUAUAUAGAGCAAUCCUGCGCUUCCAAAUAUCUUAUAUAAUUAAUUAAUUAAUUAAAAGCAUUCAUACUAACUGUACCAAUGUUUGUUUUUUUUUUUUUUUUUUUUUUUUUUUUUGAGAGAAAGGUAGUAUGCUACCCGCUUCGUUUAUUUCAUUUAGAAAUAAGUAGCAGCUUUUUAACUCAAAAAUAAAUCAAAAGUCAAUGUUUUCGGGACAAGUUUGGCAGGAACUGAUUAACAAAAAUUUGAUCGCGCCAAGCGACAAAGGGCUUGGUAGUUGGUACUUAAGAUUUCAAAUUCGAAGUCUCAUUGAUUCAAUUUUCAGCUUAAUUAAUUUUCUAAAAAAAAUAAACGAAACGGGCAAUAUGCUACCUUCCUUUCUCUAAAAAAAGAAAUUCAAAAAGCUUGGUGGUUGGUAGCUGAGGCCCCAAGUUCAAAAUAAACGAAAUUAGUAACAUGCUAUCUUUCUCUCUCUCUCUCAAAAAAAAAAAAAGAAAAAAAGAAAAGAAAAAAAAAAGAAAUUCGGCCUAGAUGGGCUGGCUAGAUGCCAAUCUCUCUACGAGGUUGGAUAGAUAAUCAUUCAUUCCGAUUUCUAUGCCGAUCGACUAAAAACUAAUUAACCAACCAAACUAACAAAAUUGAUUAUCGAAUUCUGAUUGCUAUUGGGAUUCCAUGCAUUUAAUUUGUUAGUGAGAUCGAUCGAUCUAUUCAUUGAUCAGGCCAUCUUUGGCCCCCUCACGAGCGCACGCACAUACACAUGCACAUGCACACGCACAAAACCAAACACUCCCAAACAAAAGGAUCCUCACAGCUUAGCUGCUACGCGCAGGAGGAGGCAACCCCGUGUCCUACCGUAAUAGAUCGAGCAGCUAUCGCACACAGAUCGAUUCAGCAUCAACACAAUAUCCUCAUGGGAGGGGCCCCCGUUCUUGUACGUACUAUUCUGGGUCCCCCUCUCUCCCGGACUUGAAGCUUCAGAUAUGUUUCUGAGAUUAGACAACACAAAACAGCUAAUGUAACGUUUCCACUGCCUCACCUAUGAAAGGUCAGGUUCAAAAGCAACACGAGAGGGGUGAGAAAAAGGGAGCGACAAAAGAGCUCCUAUGAUUUCUCUCUGAUUUGUUUGCGCGUUUAGAAGAAAAGACCAACAGGGUAGGGUCUCAAUAAUGUCAAACAUGUCUCAAGCAGAGUAUAAUGAUGCCCUAAAGGUUGCAAUGAUGCCUUUCUCCUGCACCAUGCUGUGCUGACCAAUCAUGUUUGAUACAUCGCCUUGGAUGCAUCUUGUCGGCCAGCUGGUUCUGUUUGUUCUGUUUGAAUAUAACUAUUUAACGAAAUAAUAAAAAUAUAUUUUUAAAAUUUUAUGGCACGAAAAUUUGUUAAUUUUUAUUCUAUUAAGGUCGCUCACCAACUUAUAAUAAUCCGGCGGAAUAAUAAGCUUAAUAUUGAGACUUUUACUUUUGCGACCUAGAAAGCUUUUCUUUAUUUGAAGUUUGUUAUAUUAAGAGUUUAUAAUUUAAUAGUUUUACAUCUAGUAAAUACAAAAGAGUAGAAGAGUUGAUAUAUACAUAUACUAGCUAGUAGGUCUAUAUCUAAGAAGUUUAAACUUUUGGUAAGAAUUAUCUAUUUUAAAGAUAGAUAUAAGUUCAGCUAUAAGCAAUAACUAAAUCAAUUUUACGUUUGGAUAAGAAUUGGAUUGUUCUUGAAAUAAGAGAAAUAGCGAUUAAUUAGAUAAGAUGGAAUAAGAAGGAUAAUGGGUAGUUAUAAAUAAAAAAUAAUGAUAUUACCCUCCCAUUAUAUUUCAAUUUAUUUUUAAAUUUUAUAUUUAUAUUUUAAUUUGAAAAAGUUCUAUUAAAUAUGUUAUAAUUUUGGGUUCAUGUGAGUCAGUAUUGGGCCUAAAAUUUUUUAACAUGUUAUGUUUCGUUUGGGAUUAAUAGUAGGGAGAUUGCGUUAAGGGGCCAUUUGAUUAGAUGUAAUUAUAAAUGCAAUAUAGUUAGAGAUGCAUGCAGUUAGAAAUACAACAGUUACAACUACAUGAAUUUAGAAAUACAACAGUUACAACUACAUGAAUCAUGUUUGGUUGGAUGUAGUAGAAAGCGCUGUAAGUAUAAAUAAUUUGUUUGGUUGCAUAUAGUUGAGAAUUAAUUUUUAAAAUUUUAUUAUUUUAUAUAUAUGAUGGUGAGAUUACCUCCAAUUAAUGUAACAAAAGAAAAUAAUUUUUAUUUAAAAAAUAUUAAGGAGGUAAGCAUACCUUUUAUUUAAAGUUACUCUCUCCAAUUGCUGUAGUUGGAACUACGGCCAAUUUUGGCGUAGUUCGAACUGUUGCAGUUGGGCCUCCUCCUGCAGUUCCUACUGCAGUAGUUGGAGUUAAAUACAUCAAACCAAACACGAAAUUUGUAUUUACAUGCAGUUAUAACUGUAGUGCAGUUGCAACUACAUGCAACCAAACGACCCCUAAGUGUGGUGAGAAAGCAUGAUGGGAAAAUAACUUGUUUGUUUUUGUACGCGUAAUAUUUCGUUCCACAGAUUGCAAUAAGUCGGUUGCCAUAUAUUUUCUGUGCUCCCACCAAAGAAUAUAGAAGCAUAUCUCUUUAUGCUUUUACGUCAACUCCAUUUUAUCUAAUAGCGUCAAAUGGUCUCAAUACCAAACUAAGUCUUAAUCCACUGCAAAUAUUGACUUUUUGCAUUUUAUUCUCUUUGAUAGCAUUAUGCAGAGAACUCCCCUUAGUCUUGUUUUAUCUUCCAUAAAAUGUAUAAAAAAAAAAAAAACUAAAAUAACAUUCCAAAUUACUAUACGUCUUGCAAUUUUUUUUUUCUAAAAAAAUAUCCAGAUUUCUUUUCUUUACUCAUCCUUGUAAUCAACUUAGAGCUUUUUCUUUUCUCUCUCUCUUUUCUCUUUUUUUUUCUUUUCUUUUUUUUUUUUCCACCUACUCUAUUGCCGUAAGAGAGAAAAUAAUUGUAAGCUGGUUAAAGGGGCAAAACUAAAAAAAAGAAAAAAGAAAAGAAAAGAGAAACUAGUAUGCAACUUUUUCAUCACAUAAAAAGUGUGGUGGGUAUUUAAUUAAAAUGGUAUUUUGAGAUUUUUGUAUAGUUUUGAAAUUUUUCUAUAGUUUUAUAAAGGAAUAAUUGUUUAUAUAUCUCUCAAAACAUCAAAAAUAUCUUAUUUAUCCCAACUUUUUUUUUUCUUUUCAAUAUACCACUCAUAUGUUCUUCCGUUAUUCCAAAAUAUCCCUACAGUUACCAUCUGUUAAGUUAACUUCCGUUAAACGUGAGAUAUUUACUAGAGUUAAGAAAAAUUAAAAUGUCUUUGUUACCCUUAUGGUUGGGUUUGCCGCGGAGUUGGGUAUUGCGAAUGCCCGAGGAACCUGAGUUGUGCAGAGGUGCUUACGGCUCAGGGUGGGGGAGUACAUAAGGUGGAGAUGUAUUCCUGAAUGUGAACCCUCGACGAUGGUGCUUCUCGAAAGGAUAUGGAUUGGGCGGUGAAACACUGGACGAAAGAGUUUACUUCGUGUAUGCUGAGUUUGAAGUCUGACGGGCAGUAGUCUUCGUUGGGAGCAGCUUCGACCAAAGUUGCGGGAAUACCAAAGGGCUACUCGAUGGACCAGUACUUCUCUCUUGGUAAAGGAAGAUCGAUGGGAAGAUCGAUGACUCUUUAGAGUGGGCCCAUGAUAUGGUAAGGAUAAAUAAGAAAUAUUAGUGAUGGUAGAAGUGUAUAUAUAUUUGAAAAGACUAAAAAUUAAAAUAAUUUUUAUGCCCUAACUUAAGGGCAAAUAAGAAAAGUUGGUGAUGAUAGAAGAGUAUAUUUGAAAGGCCAAAAUAGUAAUUUUAUAUACAUAUCAGCUAUUGCUAACAGUUUAUUAACAGAAUUUAACUUUAGGGGUAUAUUUGAAAUAGGUCGGAAUGUAAAUUUUUUUUUUUCAAUAUUAGCCCUUUAAGAAAGGUAAAUCAGAAAGUCGAAAAUUUUUUAGGAGUAUAUAAGUAAUUAACCUUUUAUAAAUGCAUAAAUUUAUAAUAGAGGAUUACGUGAUAACAACAUAAAAAUUAAGGAGAGUUUUGGGCAUAUUUUUAUUUUCUACGAUAAUAUAUUCAGGGAGGUUUUAGUUACUAAUUCUUGAAUAUAAAUAUUAAAUUUCACUGUUUUUUCCGGUAGAUUAAGUGUUUGGAAAACAAUCUUCUUUUAGUCUCUUAACAUGACAUCAGAGUAGAAGAACCUGAUCAACUUCGAGCCUCGAUUCUUUUGUACAACUUAACACUAGCAACACUAAGAUUGAAAACUCAAAUAUCAUGUAUACUAGUGAAGGACCAGCGCGUUGCGGCGGGAUAAUUUCGUAAAAAUAAAUAAAUAAAUAAAUAAAGUAAAUAAAGUAAAAAAAGGGUCAAGAAAUUAUAUAAAAAAAAGCAACUGAAGAAUAAGCAACUAUUUCUGCAAUAAAAAUAUAAGAAUAAAUUAUAAGAAGACUAAAAGAGUAAGGGAAAAAACUAUACGAAUUUAUUAUCUUGACUAUUAAAAAAUAAUAUUGAUCUAUGCGAUAAAAUUUUAUAUUUAUUUGUUAUAUUGACUAUUAAAAAAUAAAUUUAAUUUAUGCGAUAAAAUUUUACACUUGAUAUAGGCAAAAAUAAAAAUAAAUGUUAAGAAAAAAAAAAUUAAGAGAGAGAGGGAGUGAGAGUGUUGAGAGAAAAAAAUUAAAAGAGAGAGAGAGAGAGAGAGAGAGUGUGUGUGUGAAAAAAAAAAAAGAGAUAGAAAAAAAAAAAAGAAAAAGAGGUGGGGCCCACCAGCCCCCCCAUAACCCAGGGAGAGCAUCUUUAGGCUNCCCCCCCCCCCCCCCCCCCCCCCCCAUAACCCAGGGAGAGCCUCUUUAGGCUCUUUAGGCUUUCCUUUUAUUUACUGUAUAGAUAAGGGACAAUUCAUAUGUAUGUACCUAAUCAUCUGUAUUAGAAGCCAGAAAAGUGACUAGAGACAAAACAAUAAAGCGAUCAAGUAGAUUGAAUGCUUUGAGAUCUCUUUGUUUAGGAGGCAAGAACAUGAAACAGAGUUUUAAUGAAUGAGCAUUUUGAAAUCAAAAUGGCUGAAGGUUUCAAAAUAGUCAUAAUUUAAAAGGCUAAUCAAAAGUUAGUUGACUCAGUUCACUCAAUUGAUUCAGUUCCAACAUAGUAGUUUGAUUUGGCAUCAGGAAAGCUAAUUGGUUUUGUGUAUAUGUAGGAUUACAUGUUGAUUUGGCCCAAACUUGAUCCGUUAAUUAAUGACUUCACGUGCUCAAUUAUCACAAUUCUAUCAAUUCUCUCGUAUUCCCAGAUACAAAUUCAGGUGGUCUAACUUAACUCCUCGCUUUUAAGACCUUCCUAGAACAAAUUUUUAACCUAAAAAUGAAAGUCCACUUUGUUGAAUGCAAUAAAAACACGCCUUUCUCUAUAGGAGUUUAAUCUUUUUGCGAGAUUAAAUUUAGUUAUCUAACAUAGUAAGAGGUGGUCUAAACUUCAAAUCUCAUCAAAUUUUUAAUCUUAUUCAAUUUUCUUACAACAAGUCAAGUCCACAUCACAGGUCCGAGCCCGAACGCGAGGACUAUGGAAUAUGCUAAGACAUCAGGGGAUAUGUUGCAUAAGUUUUUUUUUUUUUUUUUUUUUUAUUUUUUUGAGAGAGAGAGAAAGGUAGCAUGCUACCCGAUUUGUUUAUUUUAUUUAGAAAUAAACUUAGCUGAAAAUAUGAAUCAACUAGGAUUCGAAUUUGGGUCUCGCAUACCAACCAUCAAGUCCUUUUGCCACUUGCACUAAGGACGGUCGGUAUAUGUUGCAUAAGUUAAAGCAUAGCACGAGGUCUUAACUUCAAAACCCAAAAAGCUUCUAUUCUUAUUCAAUUUUAUCAUAAUAUAUGAGCCAAGUCUACAUCAUGGGCCAAAGCCCAAAACGAGAGGAGAAUCGAAUAUGCUAAGAACUGAGGAAAUAUGUUGUAUAUAUUAAAGUGCCAAUCUCAAGCGCUUAAGCUUUUAGAAAAAAAAAAUGGUUUACACAGUUUGAUUAACUUCUACUAUAAAUUGAUGUCCUUAUAUUUUGAUGUCUUUAACUUCUACUAUUAAUUGAUAAACUAUAGGAGGAACCCUCUCUUUAUAUUUUGAAAUCUUAUAAGACUAUGUCGGGAAGACUUAUAGCGAAGGAAGUGUAGGAUUGAAUCAUCCUUCUCUUUCAAUUGCUUAUCAAAUCGCCGAUCAGGAUACACCUAAUAGAGAUCAUGCUACAAUUCCGGUACUCAAAAGCAUCAUGAUUAUCACAUAGGGCACAGAGAGAGGAGGAAGAGAAUCGAGAAAGUGGGAAUGUGUUACUGUUCAAAAAUUAUCAUAACUUAUGUUGGAAGUCGGUGUUUUGUUCAACCGGUACCCAAGUGCAGAUUCUGCUCGAGUUAUGAUUGUUAUUAUGCUUGUGAUAUGUGUUUUGUGUUUGUGUUUUGUUUGUUGUAUAGUGUUAAGUGCUAUGUAAUUGUGUUUUGUUUGCUGUAUUGUUCGCUUCUGUUUUGUUCUCUUUUUUCAACUGGGGAUUGUUUAGGGGACCUUUUGUUGGCCGUCCCAAGUCCGUUGUGUGUUGGAGUGCUAAGAAGCACCUUGUAAUCUUUGACAGACCUCUGUAAAAUAGGGUAUAUUCUUGUUUAAUCAAAAAAAAAAAAAAUCAUAACUUCCUAAAUAUACACGAUGAGAUGGGGAUGGUUUUCGUAAUGGUUCCCUCUGACCCACAUUCUCUUUUGAACAAGUGCCCUAUUAGGCUAACUAGUUUAGGCUGACCUGCUAUAGGUGCCAGACGUACCUAAAAACAUAACAAAUUAACAUUCCUCCCUCAUGUAGCAGGUAGACAAUCCUCAAUUCGUACAGAUUAUUAUUCAUACAAGAUAAUAAAAUGCAUGGCCAAUGAGCACCUAUAAGAACAGGGAACUCUAUACUAGAAGUCUAAGUAGACCGGUGUAGAGACAUAAACCUUUUAGUGUCUCAUUAUGCUCAAACAUUCAAUUGGAUCAUAGUCAUAUCAUGACUCCUGCCAAGUGGGCUCGCUCGCGCACAUGCAACAGACUCGUUGAACGGGUAAGGUUCCUUUUAUCUGUACGAAGCGAAAAUAUACACCAACCUGUAUAGCACAUACACGAUAUAGGUAUAAUAGAGUAUCAGAGUAAAUAACUUCUAAAUUAAAUUGAUUAUAAUUUAGCUUCUUUAAAGUUACAACUUUGAAUCCCAAAACAUUACAUAGUUUUGUUGAUCACACUCUAGACCAACUCAGUACUAGCUAGCUAGCUUGCACCGCCCUUACUGUGAUCCCGCGCCUCGCCGACAGUAGAAAGAUCUGAAAAGCAAUAAAAUCAAUGGGGUGAUCACAACUACCGGAAGUGACACUUUACACUUACUCGAUUCAAAGAAGGCAUUAGUAGAAUGAUAAUAAUAAUAAAACCUACUAUUACCACAACAGUAAUGCACGAAAGGAAGUACAACUACUAUGCCUGAAACAUGUAUAAUAUGCCACAAUAAUUUAUUAUGUUAUUCGCCUACAUGAAUGUUGCAAUCUAUUCUUAACACUGACCAACCAUUUGGUUUGGUUCCUCUUCAUACUGAAAACCUCAUGGAUAGUCGAUGGCGAUCGACAUAUCUCCAAUCUGUAUGCAAUUGGAGUCGAGGAAAAUCGACAUCUCCAAGUACAGGAUAGCGAGUCAAGGGUGAUUCCGUUAUGGAGUUGGGAGUCGAGGUUGAUUGACAUUUUCCAAAGAGAUAUUUCCAAAAAGUCGCGACUUACAUCUUAGUUAUACCUUUAGUUCUCAUGACUUCUAGGGUGCGUUUGGUUCGCAUUAUGAAAGAUUAGUAGGAAUAAAAGAUAUCCGAAAAUCUUAUUCCUAUUCAUCCUAUUACUAAGAAUGUGGAAUUUCUAUGUUUGGUUCGCACGGUAAUAUUAAUUAGCCAUGUUAUUUAAUAUUACAAAAAAUAUACAAUUAAUUAAUUUAUUUAUUUAUUUAAUUUUAGCUAAUGUUACCAAAAGUUUCAACAUCUUUUUAAAAAAAGGGAGAGAGAGUAUAAGUUAGAGAGAGAGAGCAUAAUUAAAAAAAUAAAAAGAAAAAUAUAGUCGAAAUUAGAGGGAGUGAGAGAGUUGAAAUUUUAGAAAGAGAAAGAGAGAGAAAGCUUAGUUUAGAGAGAGAAAAAGAGUUAAAUUUUAGAGAGAAAGAUAAGUUUAGAGAGAGAUAUAAGGUUAGAGUGUAAAGACAAAUAAUAUCAAUUAGCCGGCGGGUAGGAAGAAAGAAAGAGAUUUGACAUAUUAUGAUUAUUCCAAUCCAUUAAUAUGAGGAUACCCACCCUCCCUUAAGGAAAUGAGAUUAGUACUUUGGUGAAUCUUAUUCCCAAGUGAAUCCAAUAUUACCAACUAGAUUAUUUAGUGCGUUUAGUCAAACANNNNNNNNNNNNNNNNNNNNNNNNNNNNNNNNNNNNNNNNNNNNNNNNNNNNNNNNNNNNNNNNNNNNNNNNNNNNNNNNNNNNNNNNNNNNNNNNNNNNUGACGAAGACGUUGCUCGAUGGAUUCGGGACUUCGGAGGAAUACACAGAGCCCUCACUUGCAAUUUUUGGUCAAGGUUAGCAGGGUCGAAAUCAUGCUCUUCUCAGCUGCUGUGAUCGCGGGACUGAAUUGUGAAUUUUUUGUCGUUUUAGCUUUGCGUUGGCUUGGCGACCGGACUUGGAGAUUCCCGAUUUGAUCCAGCGGAGUUCUUUUUAGGCCGAGAGCUUCGUUUGGUGCCAGGAGAUAGCACUUUAGGUGGGUUAACUCGGUUCGACUCCUAGUCUAUAAUCGUCGACAUGUAUAGAUCUCUAUUUUGGCUAAUCUAGUUGGCCUCAAAUUCUUGAAUGAUUUUAGAUUUGUAAAUCUGAGAUUCUCGAGCAUGUUCAUAAUUUAAAUAGAUUAUACAUGUUUGGCACUUGGAAAUUGAAGAUUGGAGAAACCUGCGAUUUGGACCUGUCACCAAUUUUAAAUACCUGAUUUAGCUCUAGGAGCCGUUAGAAAGUGUCUGUCGCGAUUUCUUCGAGACGGAGUACUCAGGUUAGUUAGAAUGUCACAUGCACAUGCACACGCACAAAACCAAACACUCCCAAACAAAAGGAUCCUCACAGCUUAGCUGCUACGCGCAGGAGGAGGCAACCCCGUGUCCUACCGUAAUAGAUCGAGCAGCUAUCGCACACAGAUCGAUUCAGCAUCAACACAAUAUCCUCAUGGGAGGGGCCCCCGUUCUUGUACGUACUAUUCUGGGUCCCCCUCUCUCCCGGACUUGAAGCUUCAGAUAUGUUUCUGAGAUUAGACAACACAAAACAGCUAAUGUAACGUUUCCACUGCCUCACCUAUGAAAGGUCAGGUUCAAAAGCAACACGAGAGGGGUGAGAAAAAGGGAGAGACAAAAGAGCUCCUAUGAUUUCUCUCUGAUUUGUUUGCGCGUUUAGAAGAAAAGACCAACAGGGUAGGGUCUCAAUAAUGUCAAACAUGUCUCAAGCAGAGUAUAAUGAUGCCCUAAAGGUUGCAAUGAUGCCUUUCUCCUGCACCAUGCUGUGCUGACCAAUCAUGUUUGAUACAUCGCCUUGGAUGCAUCUUGUCGGCCAGCUGGUUCUGUUUGUUCUGUUUGAAUAUAACUAUUUAACGAAAUAAUAAAAAUAUAUUUUUAAAAUUUUAUGGCACGAAAAUUUGUUAAUUUUUAUUCUAUUAAGGUCGCUCACCAACUUAUAAUAAUCCGGCGGAAUAAUAAGCUUAAUAUUGAGACUUUUACUUUUGCGACCUAGAAAGCUUUUCUUUAUUUGAAGUUUGUUAUAUUAAGAGUUUAUAAUUUAAUAGUUUUACAUCUAGUAAAUACAAAAGAGUAGAAGAGUUGAUAUAUACAUAUACUAGCUAGUAGGUCUAUAUCUAAGAAGUUUAAACUUUUUGGUAAGAAUUAUCUAUUUUAAAGAUAGAUAUAAGUUCAGCUAUAAGCAAUAACUAAAUCAAUUUUACGUUUGGAUAAGAAUUGGAUUGUUCUUGAAAUAAGAGAAAUAGCGAUUAAGUAGAUAAGAUAGAAUAAAAAUGAUAAUGGCCAGUUAUAAAUAAAAAAUAAUGAUAUUACCCUCCCAUUAUAUUUCAAUUUAUUUUUAAAUUUUAUAUUUAUAUUUUAAUUUGAAAAAGUUCUAUUAAAUAUGUUAUAAUUUUGGGUUCAUGUGAGUCAGUAUUGGGCCUAAAAUUUUUUAACAUGUUAUGUUUCGUUUGGGAUUAAUAGUAGGGAGAUUGCGUUAAGGGGCCAUUUGAUUAGAUGUAAUUAUAAAUGCAAUAUAGUUAGAGAUGCAUGCAGUUAGAAAUACAACAGUUACAACUACAUGAAUUUAGAAAUACAACAGUUACAACUACAUGAAUCAUGUUUGGUUGGAUGUAGUAGAAAGCGCUGUAAGUAUAAAUAAUUUGUUUGGUUGCAUAUAGUUGAGAAUUAAUUUUUAAAAUUUUAUUAUUUUAUAUAUAUGAUGGUGAGAUUACCUCCAAUUAAUGUAACAAAAGAAAAUAAUUUUUAUUUAAAAAAUAUUAAGGAGGUAAGCAUACCUUUUAUUUAAAGUUACUCUCUCCAAUUGCUGUAGUUGGAACUACGGCCAAUUUUGGCGUAGUUCGAACUGUUGCAGUUGGGCCUCCUCCUGCAGUUCCUACUGCAGUAGUUGGAGUUAAAUACAUCAAACCAAACACGAAAUUUGUAUUUACAUGCAGUUAUAACUGUAGUGCAGUUGCAACUACAUGCAACCAAACGACCCCUAAGUGUGGUGAGAAAGCAUGAUGGGAAAAUAACUUGUUUGUUUUUGUACGCGUAAUAUUUCGUUCCACAGAUUGCAAUAAGUCGGUUGCCAUAUAUUUUCUGUGCUCCCACCAAAGAAUAUAGAAGCAUAUCUCUUUAUGCUUUUACGUCAACUCCAUUUUAUCUAAUAGCGUCAAAUGGUCUCAAUACCAAACUAAGUCUUAAUCCACUGCAAAUAUUGACUUUUUGCAUUUUAUUCUCUUUGAUAGCAUUAUGCAGAGAACUCCCCUUAGUCUUGUUUUAUCUUCCAUAAAAUGUAUAAAAAAAAAAGAGAAGCUAAAAUAACAUUCGAAAUUACUAUACGUCUUGCAAUUUUUUUUUUCUAAAAAAAUAUCCAGAUGUCUUUUCUUUACUCAUCCUUGUAAUCAACUUAGAGCUUUUUCUUUUCUCUCUCUCUUUUCUCUUUUUUUUUUUCUUUUUUUUUUUUUCCACCUACUCUAUUGCCGUAAGAGAGAAAAUAAUUGUAAGCUGGUUAAAGGGGCAAAACUAAAAAAAAGAAAAAAGAAAAGAAAAGAGAAACUAGUAUGCAACUUUUUCAUCACAUAAAAAGUGUGGUGGGUAUUUAAUUAAAAUGGUAUUUUGAGAUUUUUGUAUAGUUUUGAAAUUUUUCUAUAGUUUUAUAAAGAAAUAAUUGUUUAUAUAUCUCUCAAAACAUCGAAAAUGUCUUAUUUAUCCCAAUUUUUUUUUUCUUUUCAAUAUACCACUCAUAUGUUCUUCCGUUAUUCCAAAAUAUCCCCUACAGUUACCAUCUGUUAAGUUAACUUCGGUUAAACGUGAGAUAUUUACUAGAGUUAAGAAAAAUUAAAAUGUUUUUGUUACCCUUAACUUAAGGAUAAAUAAGAAAUAUUAGUGAUGGUAGAAGUGUAUAUAUAUUUGAAAAGACUAAAAAUUAAAAUAAUUUUUAUGCCCUAACUUAAGGGCAAAUAAGAAAAGUUGGUGAUGAUAGAAGAGUAUAUUUGAAAGGACAAAAUAGUAAUUUUAUAUACAUAUCAGCUAUUGCUAACAGUUUAUUAAUAUAAUUUAUCUUUAGGGGUAUAUUUGAAAUAGGUUGGAAUGUAAAAAAAGUUUUUUCAAUAUUAGCUUUUAAAAAAGGUAAAUCAAAAAGUCGAAAAUUUUUCAGGAGUAUAUAAGUAAUUAACCUUUUAUAAAUGCAUAAUUUAUAAUAGAGGAUUACGUGAUAACAACAUAAAAAUUAAGGAGAGUUUUGGGCAUAUUUUUAUUUUCUACGAUAAUAUAUUCAGGAAGGUUUUAGUUACUAAUUCUUGAAUAUAAAUAUUAAAUUUCACCAUUUUUUCCGGUAGAUUAAGUGUUUGGAAAACAAUCUUCUUUUAGUCUCUUAACAUGACAUCAGAGUAGAAGAACCUGAUCAAGUUCGAGCCUCGAUUCUUUUGUACAACUUAACACUAGCAACACUAAGAUUGAAAACUCAAAUAUCAUGUAUACUAGUGAAGGACCCGCGCAUUGCGACGGAAUAAUUUCGUAAAAAUAAAUAAAUAAAUAAAUAAAUAAAGUAAAAAAAAGGGUCAAGGAAUUAUAUAAAAAAAAGCAACCGAAGAAUAAGCAACUAUUUCUACAAUAAAAAAUAUAUAAGAAUAAAUUCUAAGAAGACUAAAAGAAUAAGGAAAAAAACUAUACGAAUUUGUUAUCUUGACUAUUAAAAAAUAGUAUUGAUCUAUGCGAUAAAAUUUUAUAUUUAUUUGUUAUAUUGACUAUUAAAAAAUAAAUUUAAUUUAUGCGAUAAAAUUUUACACUUGAUAUAGGCAAAAAUAAAAAUAAAUGUUAAGAAAAAAAAAAUUAAGAGAGAGAGGGAGUGAGAGUGUUGAGAGGAAAAAAUUAAAAGAGAGAGAGAGAGAGAGAGAGAGUGUGUGUGUGAAAAAAAAAAAAGAGAUAGAAAAAAAAAAAAGAAAAAGAGGUGGGGCCCACCAGCCCCCCCAUAACCCAGGGAGAGCAUCUUUAGGCUCUUUAGGCUUUCCUUUUAUUUACUGUAUAGAUAAGGGACAAUUCAUAUGUAUGUACCUAACCAACUGUAUUAGAAGCAAGAAAAGUGACUAGAGACAAAACAAUAAAUUAAGCGAUCAAGUAGAUUGAAUGCUUUGAGAUCUCUUUGUUUAGGAGGCAAGAACAUGAAAUAGAGUUUUAAUGAAUGAGCAUUUUGAAAUCAAAAUGGCUGAAGGUUUCAAAAUAGUCAUAAUUUAAAAGGCUAAUCAAAAGUUAGUUGACUGAUCAGUUCACUCAAUUGAUUCAGUUCCAACAUAGUAGUUUGAUUUGGCACCAGGAAAGCUAAUUGGUUUUGUGUAUAUAUAGGAUUACAUGUUGAUUUGGCCCAAACUUGAUCCGUUAAUGACUUCACGUGCUCAAUUAUCACAAUUCUAUCAAUUCUCUCGUAUUCCCAGAUACAAAUUCAUGUGGUCUAACUUAAAUUCCUCGCUUUUAAGAUCUUCCUAGAACAAAUUUUUAACCUAAAAAUGAAGGUCCACUUUGUUGAAUGCAAUAAAAACACGCCUUUCUCUAUAGGAGUUUAAUCUUUUUGCGAGAUUAAAUUUAGUUACCUAACAUUGCAUAGUAAGAGGUGGUCUAAACUUCAAAUCUCAUCAAAUUUUUAAUCUUAUUCAAUUUUCUUACAACAUGUCAAGUCCACAUCACAGGUCCGAGCCCGAACGCGAGGACUAUGGAAUAUGCUAAGACAUCAGGGGAUAUGUUGCAUAAGUUUUUUUUUUUUUUUUUUUUUUUGAGAGAGAAAGAUAGCAUGCUACCCGCUUUGUUUAUUUUAUUUAUAAAUAAACUUAGCUGAAAAUGUGAAUCAACUAGGAUUCGAACUUGGGUCUCGAAUACCAACCAUCAAACCUUUUUGCCACUUGCACUAGGGACGGUCGGUAUAUGUUGCAUAAGUUAAAAGCAUAGCACGAGGUGUUAACUUCAAAACCCAAAAAGCUUCUAUUCUUAUUCAAUUUUAUCAUAAAAUAUAAGCCAAGUCUACAUCAUGGGCCAAAGCCCAAAACGAGAGGAGAAUCGAAUAUGCUAAGAACUGAGGAAAUAUGUUGUAUAUAUUAAAGUGCCAAUCUCAAGCGCUUAAGCUUUUAGAAAAAAAAAUUGGUUUACACAGUUUGAUUAACUUCUACUAUAAAUUGACGUCCUUAUAUUUUGAUGUCUUUAAGUUAAUUGAUAAACUAUAGGAGGAACCCUCUCUUUAUAUUUUGAAAUCUUAUAAGACUAUGUCGGGAAGACUUAUAGCGAAGGAAGUGCAGGAUUGAAUCAUCCUUCUCUUUCAAUUGCUUAUCAAAUCGCCGAUCAGGAUACACCUAAUAGAGAUCAUGCGACAAUUCCGCUACUCAAAAGCAUCAUGAUCAUCACAUAGGGCACAGAGAGAGGAGGAAGAGAAUCGAGAAAGUGGGAAUGUGUUACUGUUCAAAAAUUAUCAUAACUUAUGUUGGAAGUCGGUGUUUUGUUCAACCGGUACCCAAGGGCAGAUUCUGCUCGAGUUAUGAUUGUUAUUAUGCUUGUGAUAUGUGUUUUGUGUUUGUGUUUUGUUUGUUGUAUAGUGUUAAGUGUUAUGUAAUUGUGUUUUGUUUGCUGUAUUGUCCGCUUCUGUUUUGUUCUCUUUUUUCAAUUGGGGAUCGUUUAGGGGACCUUUUGUUGGCCGUCCCAAGUCUGUUGUGGGUUGCAGUGCUAAAAAGCACCUUGUAAUCUUUGACAGACCUCUAUAAAAUAGGGUAUAUUUUUGUUUAAUAAAAAAAAAUAAUAAUAAUAACUUCCUAAAUAUACACGAUGAGAUGGGGAUGGUUUUCGUAAUGGUUCCCUCUGAGCCACAUUCUCUUUUGAACAAGUGCCCUAUUAGGCUAACUAGUUUAGGCUGACCUGCUAUAGGCGCCAGACGUACCUAAAAACAUAACUAAUUAACAUUCCUCCCUCAUGUAGCAGGUAGACAAUCCUCAAUUCGUACAGAUUAUUAUUCAUACAAGAUAAUAAAAUGCAUGGCCAAUGAGCACCUAUAAGAACAGGGAACUCUAUACUAGAAGUCUAAGUAGACCGGUGUAGAGAGAUAAACCUUUUAGUGUCUCAUUAUGCUCAAACAUUCAAUUGGAUCAUAGUCAUAUCAUGACUCCUGCCAAGUGGACUCGCUCGCGCACAUGCAACAGACUCGUUGAACGGGUAAGGUUCCUUUUAUCUGUACGAAGAGAAAAUAUACACCAACCUGUAUAGCACAUACACGAUAUAGGUAUAAUAGAGUAUCAGAGUAAAUAACUUCUAAAUUAAAUUGAUUAUAAUUUUUAGCUUCUUUAAAGUUACAACUUUAAAUCCCAAAACAUUACAUAGUUUUGUUGAUUACACUCUAGACCAACUCAGUAAUAUCUAGCUAGCUUGCACCGCCCUUACUGCGAUCCCGCGCCUCGCCGACAGUAGAAAGAUCUGAAAAGCAAUAAAAUCAAUGGGGUGAUCACAACUACCGGAAGUGACACUUUACACUUACUCGAUUCAAAGAAGGCAUUAGUAGAAUGAUAAUAAUAAUAAAACCUACUAUUACCACAACAGUAAUGCACGAAAGGAAGUACAACUACUAUGCCUGAAACAUGUAUAAUAUGCCACAAUAAUUUAUUAUGUUAUUCGCCUACAUGAUUGUUGCAAUCUAUUCUUAACACCGACCAACCAUUUGGUUUGGUUCCUCUUCAUACUGAAAACCUCAUGGAUAGUCGAUGGCGAUCGACAUAUCUCCAAUCUGUAUGCAAUUGGAGUCGAGGAAAAUCGACAUCUCCAAGUACAGGAUAGCGAGUCAAGGGUGAUUCCGUUAUGGAGUUGGGAGUCGAGGUUGAUUGACAUUUUCCAAAGAGAUAUUUCCAAAAAGUCGCGACUUACAUCUUAGUUAUACCUUUAGUUCUCAUGACUUCUAGGGUGCGUUUGGUUCGCAUUAUGAAAGAUUAGUAGGAAUAAAAGAUAUCCGAAAAUCUUAUUCCUAUUCAUCCUAUUACUAAGAAUGUGGAAUUUCUAUGUUUGGUUCGCACGGUAAUAUUAAUUAGCCAUGUUAUUUAAUAUUACAAAAAAUAUACAAUUAAUUAAUUUAUUUAUUUAUUUAAUUUUAGCUAAUGUUACCAAAAGUUUCAACAUCUUUUUAAAAAAAGGGAGAGAGAGUAUAAGAUUUUCAGAGAGAGCAUAAUUAAAAAAAUAGAAAAUCGAAACUAGAGAGAGAAAAAAAAGUUGAAUUUUAGAGAGAAAAAUAAGUUUAGAGAGAAAUAUAAGGUUAGAGUGUAAAAAAAAAUAAUAUCAAUUAGCCGGUGGGUAAGAAAAAAGAAAGAGAUUAGACAUAUUAUGAUUACCUCAAUCCAUUAAUAUGAAGAUACCCACCCUCCCUCAAGGGAAUGAAAUUAGUACUUUGGAGUGAAUCUUAUUCCCAAGUGAAUCCAAUAUUACCAACUAGAUUAUUUAGUGCGUUUAGCCAAACAUCGUCAUAUUUUUUUAUUUCCAUUGGAUUAUUAGGAAUCUUUAAAAGAUAGCGUGAACCAAACACACCCCUAAGGUUAUCUAUCGAUCACUCACAUGUUCCUUUGAAUCUAGCUUAAGUUUGUCUAGAUAUUCAUGUGUCUCUAUGUUCCACAUCCUAGGUUCCAUCCUAGUUCUAAUACCAUUAUGAUGUCAUAUAUGCUUUGUCAAGAUCUUCAUGUGAUUCUAUGUUCCACAUCCUAGGUCUAAUGCCAUUAUGAUGUCAUGUAUGCUUCAAGGGUCACAAAAUACUUUAUUUAUAUAUUGCAUGUGUUCCUACAUUAACAUGGCAAAUGGGUUAAAAAAACCUAUUUCCUAGGUCAAGGCCCCUAGUCCAUAAGACCUCUCAAAUAUCAUUACAUGCGCAUAAAUCUCCUUUUAGUCUGCACUGUAUAUAUAUAUAUAUAUAUAAUUGAUCUAAAAUACUUUUAGAAACACUAAUUCCUUGGUGCUUCUAAGUUUCUAACCCUUAGAUCUACUCCUUGAUUACUAAUAGCCCUUGGAUCAAACACUAUUCCACCUACCACCAUCAUCCCAAUCUUACAUCUCUCCUUCCAAUGGCUAAAAACUUAAAAGCACCACCCUCUUGGUGCUUUUGAGAGUAUUCUAACUCAACUAUAUAUAUAUAUACUUAAAAGCUCUUGGAUCUACUCCUUGAUUACUCAACUACUCAACUAUUUUAUAUUUUUUUUCACCCUUUCUUCUUUUUUUCAUAUGCACUUUAUUAGUAAAUUCUGAUCAUCACUAUCUAUUGGUGAAAACAGAACUGGAGGUACCAAUCUUCUUAAUUUUCAAUAUCUUGCUUUUCUUGCUUCUCUUUAGCAAAUAUACAAUUUUAAAAUUAUACUUUCAUUGUUUUUUAAAUAUUUAUAAGAUAAUAACAUUUUCAAUGCAUUGUUAUUGUGUUAUAUAAUAAAUUAUUUGCCUCUAAUGCUAAGAAUUAGAAUUCCUGUACUUAAUUUCUCAUGCAACUCAAGGCCAGUAAAUAUUGUUGCAGAAACAAAUAAUGUACCCUCUAAAUAGCCCUAAUAUCUAAUAAUUUGAUAAGAAUUUAACAAACUAUAGUUCAAAAUAUUAUAGUUUAUUAUUUUAUAUGCACGUAUUAUUUUAUUAUUAUAUGAAAAAGAAUAAAUUAAAAUUAAGGUAGAGUUACAUAUUCAUUUUUAAGACAACAUCUAAGACGAAAAUAUUGAUGUAACAAUUUCCUGCAUCGGACGAUUACUUACUAGAUCUUAAACUAUACUAUGCAUCCUUAUAAAAUAUUUUUUUUGAAUCAAUAAAUUUUAUAAAAUAAUUCAGAUAUUUUAAGUUAAGAAAAAUGUUAUUCGGUAAUGUAGUUUUGAGAUCAUGUAAAUAUUGGAAACUAAAUUAAAGAAAUAAAAUCAAUUUAAAUUUUAAAUUUUAAAUUAUUUUUAUUUUAAAAUUUUAAAAGUAUAGUUAUAAUUCCAUGCAUUGCAUAAAAGCUAUAUUUAUUUUGGUUUUUCCAACUGUCUUUUCAUCUUAUUUGAGUUGUUUCUUUUCCUUUCUUAAAAAUUACAUUUACUUUAUCUUUUUUAAUGAUCCUUUGUCUUCUGUUAUAUUUACUCGGUUUUUUUUUUUUUCUCAGUUGCCCUUUGCCUUAUGUCCGUAAGAGAUGAGAUUAGAGAGAUGAGGGAAUACGGAGGGCCCAAAAUCCUACCCUAGAAGUGGUUGAACGUUUACAACUACGAGAACCCUAAGAAGAUAUGCCAUAAAGAUGAGGUUACGGUGCAUAAGAAGCAGCUCAAGCGUGAGCAAUCCUGCCACCACGGUGCCGAGUUCCGCCUCGAGUGCCUCCGCCAAGUCUGCAGCCUCGCCAUUGUCCCCUCCUCCUCUGCCACUGUCAUCGCCGCCGCCACUGUGUCGGAAGAGAUGGCGCCGCCCUUCAAUUCAGGGCACAUCAACCUCUUCGACGGUGUCCUGGACUUCGCAUUCUUUGCUGCCCAGGACGAGAGCAAAAGGCCACUGAGAGGUAAGGAAGGGGCCAAUAGGGGCUGCAAAAAUCUUAAGAGGCAGCAGACGAAGGAAAAACAAUACUAUUGAGUAAAGAAACGGUAUUGUUUUGUUAUCAGUACAAAGUAUUAUAUUUCGAAACAGUGUAUAUAAUACUGUGACUUCGUAGAUGAUUUCAUAUUGGGAUCUUUCAAAGUUGCAUUUGGCUGCGACAAGAUCGCACACUCAAAUUCAUUCAACUUUCACUAGAUAAAUAAUAAAUUUUAUUUUCUAUCUUCUUUUGGGGUGGGUAAAUAGUAAAUUUUUUUAUGUAUAUUUUGUAUUCUAUAUUGUUUUUUCUAAAAAAAAUUUCCGCCGCAUCGCGCGGAUCCCUACGCUAGUAUUCUAUAAAUACACUUUCUUCAUGAAUCCCUUGAAGAAGGAUUUCUACAUGAUCAAGAGUCAAGAUAUCUGGUCCAAGAUCUCACUCCAUCCUCGAGGCAGCUUUUCUAAAAUCAUAUAUAUCAUGACUUCUCUAUUUAUUCUAAGGAUGGUUUCUUCUCUAUUAAACCAAGUAUAUUUUUCGUUUAGAGAUUGUUAUAAAUUGUUCAUAUAUUUGAUGUGUUCAUUAAUUUACUGUGUCGGCGUUUGGUCUCAUCCAAGUAUCAAGAUUUGUCCGUAUAAAUUGGGCACGCAAUAAUUCUCCAUUUUCACUAGAAAUGCAUAUAUAUACAAAAUUAGUAAGUACUCAUUUUAUUAAUAAAAUAUUUGAAUUUUAGAAUAAAAACAAAUCUAAAUUUUAACACGACAAAAGUUAGAGCACAAAAAGUUUAUAAUUUUCAGAAGUAUAUACAAUUUUUUAUGACAUUUAGGAAAAAGAAUAAGUAAUACUAUUUUACAAACUUAUAAUAAAAGGAAAGUUUUCGGUUGGUAAGAGGGAACAAAUAAAGCCAUUGUGGUUUACUUUGGUUUCAAAUCCUACAUAUAUAAAUUUUUUUUUUGAGAGAUAAGUGGCAUACUACCCGCUUGGUUUAUUUCAUUUAGAAAUAAACUUAGCUGGAAAUGUGAAUCAAUUAGGAUUCAAACUUGGGUUUCGGGUACCAACCACGAAACCCUUUGCCGCUUGCUCUAGGGACGGUCGGUAAAUCCUACAUAUAUUACUCUUUUUUACAUAUGCGUAAACGAAAAAUAGCAAUGGGUUGGGCUAUGGGUUCCCAUGGCCCAGUUAGGCUUGUGGGCCUUCAUGCUGGGCCUAAGAUCCAUGGCCCAAUGCCAUGGAGUACAAAUCAUUGAAAAAAAUGUAGUAAUUUUUCCAAAUUAGCAAAAAUAUCGUUUUAACUUGCCAAUACUAUACCAACCGUCCCUAAAGCAAGUGGUAAAAAGCUUGGUGGUUGGUACCCGAGACCCAAGUUCGAAUCCUAGUUGAUUCACAUUUCUAGCUAAGUUUAUUUCUAAAUGAAAUAAACGAAGCGGGUAGCGUGCUAUCUAUCUCUCAAAAAAAAAAAAAAAAAAAAACUUGCCAAUAAGAUUCUCUGAAAUAAAAAAUAAUCAUCUAUAAUUCAAAAUAUCAAGAAAGAACGUUUACAAUUUAGAAAAUCAAAUUUCACCAAUCGAUGAAAGAAGAUAGGACAAUGGCAAACACUCGUCUCCGAUACCAAUAUUAGAAGGACUUACAGCGAAAGAAGCAUAGGAUUGGAUUGUCCUUCUCUUUCAGUUGCUCAACAUAUCACUGGUUGGGAUGCGCCAACUAGAGAUCACGCCACAAUUUCACCACUCAAAAGCUUCUAGAUCAUUGCGUAGGGCAAAGAGAGAGGAGAGAGAGAUUCGAGAGAGUGAGAAUGUAGGACUGAUGAAAAAUUAUCAUAACUUUCUAUUGGAUUUUAUUAGAUUUUUAUGAUUUAAAACUUGUUAAGGCCUCUUGAGAGCUCAAUAAAUGUUAAUGGGCCGCUUGGGGAGCCUAACUAAAAUUUUUAUGUGAGAUGUUUAGUCUCACAUUGGAAACCAAAAGGGUGUUUGUUGUUUUUAUAUAUUGCUUUAUUCUCAAGCUAGUUGCUCGGAAGAAAUGAGAGUUAUGCUCUCGUUUAUAUACCGGGCGGCGGCGGCGUGGUCCAUACAUCCGGUUUAUUUUACUUUGUCGGUUUUAUCUUUAUUUUAAUACUUAUUUUUUUACUAAUUCUAAUCCUUAGCUUUAUCAGUAUAAUCUUAGGCUUAUCUUGUUAUACACGGAUUUGACGCGUUGAAGCAAGAUUCUCGUCUAGGUUAUAAAUAUAGGGCGAGGUUACACGAGUUAAUAUAUAACCCGAGCAUACCUAAAGCCUCUCGUCUUUUUCUACUUUUUGGAUUUUCGCCGAGUUUUCUUUUGCUGGAUCUGAAGCUUAUUGGGUUCAUCUUGCGCCACCUUGAAAGCAUGCCGACGAAGUGGAAAGUGACCGUUGUAUCGCUAGGAGUAAUUGUCGGGAAGCCUCACACGUGGAAGGACAAUUUCGCUUCUAGGACAGUGCUCUACACGUCUCGAUCCACAGACCUUAUCUAAACUUUUUCUUUACCGUUUUGUUAUUUAAUUUCGUUUCGAAAUUUUCCUAAACCUAUAAUUAAAUUUUCGAAUUAAUUUUUAAAGAAUAUUGUAAUAAAAGAUCAGAAAGUUUUUCCAACACUUUCCACAUAUAGAGUGAGAUGGGGACAAUUUGCAUAACCGUUCUAUCUCACCCAUAUUCUCAUUAGAACAAGCUAGUGCACUAUUCGGCUAACAAGUUUGAGUCGACUAGCUCUAAGUGCCCGACUCAUGAACAUUAAUUAAUAUUAUGUUUAAGAUAUGCGAUCAAAAUGAUUAUAAAAUUAGUUAUUUUGAUUGAGAAGAAGUGUAUUGAACAAUUUGAUGAAGUUUAGGGCAAAAUUGAAUUUAAAAAGCUUAUUUGCAAAAGAGCUAAAGCUCAUAGAUGUUUUGUAUGUAUUUUCCUUUUAUCUUUUAUCAAUCCUUGUUGCAUAAUUUUCUUCUUUUGAAUUUAUUAUUUAUACGAUGUUUAGAAAGGAAUAUUAUUAGGCAAAGAAGCAUAUAAUUACAGUGUAAGAAUAUGUAAAUGAUUUUUAUAAUAAUAGAUCUAUGCAAAUUGACGAGAUUGAAUGCAAAAAUAUUAACAGUAUUUUCAUAGAUUUCUCAAAUGACACUCAACAUAAUGCUUUGAUAGAAGAUAAAGUAAAAACUAAGAUACUUGCAGGAAAUAUAAAAACUUUCGGAAAAAAAAUCUUUUGAAACUAAAAAGGAUUUUGGGCAAAAAUAACAAGGUCGCCCUCAGGCCAGCAAUCAACAAGGUCACUGCCUCAAGCUAGGCGGUGCAAUCCAGCUCGUUGUUCGCGGUUAACCAGCCUGUGUUCGGCCUUCGAAAAUGAGCUCGAUGAUCGCUCGCUUGUUUAUAAGCGACGAACACAGAGCUGGGGUUAGCUCGCUCGUGGUCGGCCUCGAUAAAGCUCAGAAUACCAUCAUAUUGUAUAUUUAUAUAAUUUAUUUAAUUUAUAUUUGUAUAAUAAAUAAAUAAUUAUAUAUAAUAUAUAUUUUUAUUAUUUUAUUUUGGCAAAAUAAAAAUAUAAAUGCGAGCUUAAUUAUAAAAAGACUCAUUUAUAUGUGCAAUUUCAACAUUCAGAUCAAAAUCUAAUAGAUAAGAUUGAUAAUUUAUUUUUUUAUAUAUUGUAUAUCUAAUCUUUUAAUUUAUUGUUCGUUGUCAGCUCGUGAGGCCAGCUGUAGUCGCUCGUUUCUAUGAGCCGAACACGAGCUGAAUUUUUCGGCUCGAUACUUUAACGAGCCAGCUCGUGUUCGGGUCGUUUAAUAAACGAGCCGAACACAAGCCGACCCCAGCUCGCUCGUGUUCGGCUCGUUUACACCCCUACCUCAAGCUAGCGAGAGCGCUUCCUGCAGGAAGACAGAUGGCAGAACCUACAAAAAAAAGGUGGCUAGUGAAAUCACUACUCCAUUGCAUGAAUUGGAAGCCAGAAAGGAGAUUUAUAAAGCUUAAGAAAGGGUGGAGGCUAUUGAAAUAACCAUAAGUUAGCAGAGGAGAUAAGAUUUUAUUGGAGACUAGUAAGGCAACAAAGAAGAGCAUACUAUUUACGAGUACAAUCUGGGAAGAUGAAGUUAGUAAAGAUCUCGUGGUAAUUUUCACUUCAAUAAGGAUGACACUCCAAGAAAUAUUGGGUUGAUCUAUCUUAACCAUAAGAACUGUGAGAAAACUAGUAUGACAAAGGAGCUUCAGAGCUAGCUAACCUAGAGUAACAUAGCAUUAAGUUUACCGAGCCUUGGGUACGACGGCAUUUAUCCCCUCUAUCAUCCCUUGUUGUACUACAAGCAAGCCCUUCUUAAUCCGGUACCACCUUCGGCUCCUACUGUCCUUCUGUGACUUGAAAAGAAGGCUAUCUCAGUCUCCAAAGAGCAAGAACAUCUUUUGAUGGUAAAUGCUACAGAUAUUUGGUGAGAGAUCAUAGGGUGGCAUCUUGUAGAGACGUGUCAAGUGAAUGUGGUGCUAUAAAAUUGGACACAAGGCUUAGGUGUGCAAGAACUUUGAGAAAGGAGCGAAAAGGACAAUGUUCAAACCAAAGUAAGUUCGGGAUUGCGUACCUUAGCACAAGAUCUUUGUCCCUUACUUUGGGGUCUACUUCUAGAGGAGGGAAAGAUCUCGGAAUGUAAUACUCACAGAUGUAUUGCUUCUUGGAAAUUUCAGCCAUUAUCUGCUCGACACAAUCUCCACUCUAACUUUCAUGUAGGAUGCUAUCAAAAGAGUGAUUUUGUUAUCUUCCUUCCAUAGUGGGUGCAGGUAGAGUCACUAAUCUGCUAGAAAAAUUUCUAUGUACACGAGUUUCGACUUGGAUGCUUUUCAUGGGAACCUCUUGAUGUGGUCACCCAGCACAAGCUCCAACUUAAGGCUUGGAUCAGAAUCGUCGGGCUCCCCUACUUCCAAGGUGGCGAUGCUAGUGAAUGGAUUUGGAUGAUUUCUUGCAAUAGGCAAAUGAGUAAGCUGAUGGAAGAUUUUAGCAGAUAUAACUGCUAUGUGGUUAUUGAAGCUUUAACGAUAUAUCAAAGAUGAUCGCAUUAACUCUGGAGAAUCUAAGACUGUUGUGUCAUGGUGCUACCAUGACCGCGAGGGGAGAAGCGUAGGAGUAGGAGAAAAUGGAGGUACCAGAGGAGACAAUAGAGGAUCCAUGGCAAGAGAAGCAAUGGCGGCGACGCGCUUGGUAAAGAAGAAGGCUAUUCGGGUUUUGGGCUCGCGCUCCCUCACUGUAGCCUCACUCAAUCCGCCUCCGAAGCCGGAGCGGUGCGAUCAAUGGGAAAGGGAAAGGGUCAGUUCGGGUGCCAGGUUCGCACCUCCUCACUGUGAUGACGGGACCUGGAUCCGCAUUUAGCUUCGGAUGCGGGUUGAACUAUGUGUGGGCCGGCCCAAGUGAGGGAUCCAGCGUGAGACAGAAUUGAACCCACUAUGGCUCAUGUAGUUUAAAUACAAUUACAUUCAUAUCCCUGUCCAUUGUAACUCUUACAAUCUGGUCCUCGUAAUUAGUAGAGUAUAAAUAGCAAGCUAACAAUGUAAUGAAUUAAGCAAAAAAUGGAAUAAAAUCCCUUUUUCCCCAAUUAUCUCUCUUCUCUUCUUCUCCUCUCGAUCCCUCUUCUUCUCCUCUACUCGAACUCCUCUCUUCUCUUCUCUCAAGCUCCUCUCUAUCCCUGGAUCCUACUUAUCUCAUCCCCAUCAAGCUGAUGACCAAUUGAAUUAGAAGGUGGAGCCAUUUCCCAUCAUCUCUAAUUCUACUCAUCCUCAGCAUCAUCCAGCUUCACAGGAGAGCAAUUGGAUCAGGUAUCCAAUUUACAUCAUCUCCCAUAGCCAUCCAAACUGAUAUGGUGGUUGCUAUAGGAUCAGUUUAUUACAAUCUGGUAUCAGAGCGGUUUCGAUCCCAGGGAUCGGUACGGCGCAGUCGCAAGGACUCCGGCUUUGCAAACUGUUGAAUCCGACGUCGACGCAGCUACCCGUGCUGCUAGGGUCGCCUCUGGGUGAUCCUGGACAAAGGGGGCCGCUGUAAGAACCUUCCCUGGUUCUUGAACUCCCAGAAUUGGCAGGGAAAUUAAACGCCCGCCAUCUGUUCGAAGUUCCCACCUGGUGCCUGCAACCUUCUUGCAGGUGGAUCCCGCCAGAGAUUGAGCAAAAUUGGGUCUGCAAAAGGUAACCGGUUCAAAUUUAUUAGCAAAACAAUGGCCGAAGGAACCCGUUUGAAGUUGCUUGAUGAACACGUUCAUGCACUGGAGCAACAAAUGCAAGAGUUAGCGGCAGGGACUGAGAGGAAAUUUGAAUCACUUACAAGUCGUAUGGAGGCGAUACGUAUGGAAGGACAAUCUCAUUAUGAUGAUUGGAAGAAGGACUCUGCAAACACCUCAAAGAAGCUUGAACAGAUUAUGGAUCUAUUGGUGAACAUACCACAGACUACAUCCAUCAGAGGAGCUACAUCUUCAAUUAGUAUAGAUGAACGAGGUAUAUUGCCAACCCCACCUAUUUCUCACACAAAGGAAGAUAAUCAUAUACAACCUACCAUAAAUCGAUCAGGGUUCCAAUUUCCAUUUCCCAAGUUAGAAUUUCCUAUAUUCAUGAAUGACAAUCCGAGAAGUUGGGUGAGAAAGUGUGAGAGAUAUUUUGAAUUCUAUAGUAUUAAGGAACAUCAGAAAAUGGAGUUAGUAGCCAUGCACUUGGAUGAUAAGGCUGAUACCUGGUUUCAAGGGUAUUUAGCAGAAAAGCGGAUGGUCCAUUGGGCAGAUUUUUUCGAAGAAAUCUGCAGGCGGUUUGAUACGAGAGGAUCGGUGGACGUCGUGGAGGAAUUUAACAAACUGGUGCAAACAGGGACAGUGGAGGAGUAUCAAGAGCAAUUUGAGGAUUUAAAGGCACGACUGCUUACUACUGAUUCUCAAUUCUCCGUGGACUAUUUCCUCUCGAGCUUCCUGAGUGGACUAAAAGAUGAGAUCAGAUCUGCUGUCAAGAUGUUAUAUCCACGAACCUUGACUCAGGCAUUCGAACAAGCCAAACUACAAGAACAGACCAUAGCAGCAAUGAUGAAAAAGAGUAAACAAAUGCUUCGAUUACAAGGGAUCACCAAUUCUCCAAGCAACUACAAGGGAAUGGGUUCGGCAACAUCUGGAAGGUACUCCGACACCGCCAGGAACCAACCCAAGUUCACUACAGAGAAAGCAUUCCCUAACCGGCAAUUAAUCGAGCAGAGAAGAGCCGCUGGUCUCUGUUUCAAAUGUGGGGAUAAGUACAGUCUUGGCCAUACCUGUAAGCCGCAAGCAAUGAAUGCCAUACAAGCAAACCCAGGGGUGACAGAAGUAUAUGAUGAGAUCAGUUUGCAGGAGAUAGAAGGAGAAAAGAGGAUUGAAGUUGAAGAAGAAGAAGAAUUGGGGUUAUCAGUUCACGCCUUGAGUGCUGAGGAUAGCCAAGAUACCAUAAAAAUACAAGGAGAGAACAAGGGUAAGACUUUAUCCAUCCUUGUGGACACUGGGAGCACUCAUAGUUUUAUUGACAUUGGGGUAGCUAAAGAGACCAAGGCUGACAUUGCAACUACUACACCACUCUUGGUAACAGUAGCUAAUGGUCAAAAGGUGUUGAGUAAGCUCAAAUGCACCAAUUAUGUCUGGGAAAUGCAAGGUGAAAAGUAUUCGGCAGACCUGCGAGUGAUACGGCUUGAAGGGUCUAGCAUGAUCUUAGGGAUUGACUGGUUGAGAGUGCAUGGUCCAGUCACCUUCGAUUAUGAAAUUAACACGGUUAUCAUUACAAAGGGUGACAAGAAAAUCCACUUAAAAGGGAUGCCUUACAAGGCAGGAUUGCGAAACAUUACAGCCAAACAGUUACAGCAUGAACUUCAAGAGGGCAGUUGCUAUGCAGUGGCACAGUGGAUACCUCCAGAGGAAGGGAAGGAGGAACACAUACCUGAGACUAUUCAAAUGGUUUUGCAAGAGUAUUGGGAUAUAUUCCAAGAGCCUCAAGGGUUGCCCCCGACUAGAAACCAGGAUCACAAAAUAACGCUGCUGCCUGAUUCUCAACCAGUUAAUAUCAGACCUUAUAGAUACACUUUUGAACAAAAGAAUGAGAUGGAGAGGCAGAUUCGAGAGAUGCUGAACACAGGAAUUAUUCAACCCAGCCAUAGCCCCUACGCCUCACCUGUUCUCUUGGUCAGGAAGAAGGACGGGACCUGGAGGUUUUGCGUCGACUAUCGGCAAUUGAAUAAGCUCACUGUGAAGGACAAAUACCCAAUUCCAAUUAUCGAAGACUUAUUAGAUGAACUGGGAAGGGCUAAAUAUUUCUCUAAGAUUGAUUUGAGGUCAAGGUAUCAUCAAAUCCGAAUGCACCCAAACAACAUAUCGAAAACAGCCUUCCGCACACAUGUCGGCCAUUAUGAGUUCAGAGUCAUGCCCUUCGGACUUACUAACGCGCUGGCCACGUUCCAAGCCAUAAUGAAUGAGAUCUUUGACCAGUUUUUGAGAAGGUUUGUUUUAGUUUUCUUUGAUGAUAUUUUGAUAUAUAGUCAGACUUUGGAGGAGCACGCGGAACACUUAAAACGAGUGUUGGGAGUGCUCAGGACUAACCAAUUAUGUGCCAAACGAUCCAAAUGUUUCUUUGGACAAAGACAGGUUGAUUAUCUAGGCUAUGUCCUCACCAGAAAAGAAGUAUCGACUGAUCCCUGCAAAAUAGAAGCAAUGCUCCAAUGGCCACUGCCCAGAUCUAUUAAGGAGUUGAGAGGGUUCUUAGGGCUUACGGGCUAUUACAGGAAGUUCGUUAAAGGAUAUGGAGUAAUCAAUAAGUCUCUCACGGAGCUCUUGAAGAAGGGUAGCUUUAAAUAGAGCGAGGAAGCCACCCUUGCAUUCGAAGGGUUAAAGAAAGCAAUGACGGAAGCCCCUGUUCUAGCCAUGCCCGACUAUUCAAAGCCCUUCGAAGUGGAAGCUGACGCUAGCGGCCAAGGAAUCGGGGCAGUUUUGGCACAAGGGGGAAGACCUAUCGCCUAUAUGAGCAAAACAAUCAGUAAGAAGAAUCUGGGACUCUCAACUUAUGAGAAAGAGUUCCUUGCUAUUUUAAUGGCGGUGACGAAAUGGCGCCAUUACCUCAGCUUAAAAGCCUUUAUUAUAAAGACGGACCAUGAAAGCCUGAAAUUUCUACUGGAACAAAAGAUUAACACCGCGAUCCAGCAGAAAGGGAUGCUCAAGCUUAUGGGCUUGGAUUAUGUCAUACAAUACAGGAAGGGAAAAGAAAAUCGAGCCGCCGACGCGCUAUCUAGGAGAGGGUUUGAGGAAGGAGUAGUACAAGCAAUCACAGGAGUUCUACCCAAUUGGGUAUCAGAAGUGAUCAAGAGCUACGAAAAGGAUGACCACUGCAAGAAGCUAACUGCCAGUCUCAUUAUACAACCCAUAGAUCAACAACCUUUCACUUAUCAGCAAGGACUUAUUAGGUACAAGGGUCGACUGUACAUUGGAGGUAAUGAGAAGUUGAAGAAAAUUUUUUUAAAAGAAAUGCAUGAUUCCCCUCUAGGAGGUCAUUCAGGAAGGCACCAUACUUAUAAGAGAAUUAAGCAGGUAUUCUAUUGGCCGAAGUUAAGAGAGGAUGUGAAGAAGUUGGUAGAAGAGUGCGAAGUCUGCAUUAAAAACAAAUCGGACAACUCUAAGUACGCUGGAUUACUUCAACCUUUACCAAUUCCGACACGGACCUGGAGUGAGAUCAGCAUGGACUUUAUAGAAGGGUUACCCAAGUCGGACGGAAAAGACUCGAUUUUGGUGGUAGUAGAUAGAUUGACUAAAUAUGGACACUUCAUUGCGUUGACUCACCCUUAUACUGCCAUAGAAGUGGCCCGAGCUUUCUUUGAUACAAUCUAUCGUCUGCAUGGGCUACCAGAGAUAAUAGUUUCAGAUCGAGAUCGGGUUUUCACAAGUCAGUUAUGGCAAGAGCUAUUUCGAUUAUUGGGUACCAAACUGCACAUGAGCACCGCUUACCAUCCCCAAACAGACGGGCAGACUGAGCGACUAAAUAGGUGUUUGGAGACCUACCUCAGGUGCCUGUGUUUCCAGCAUCCGAGGAAAUGGCAUCAGUGGCUGGCACAUGCAGAAUGGUGGUAUAAUACCAACCAUCAUACUUCCCUGGGAACAACUCCUUAUCAGGCUCUUUACGGGCAACCGCCACCCAACUACAUGACAGACAACCUAUCUAGAAGCUCAGUGGGAGUACUUCAGGAUUGGGGAAAGGAAAGAGAAAGGAUGACCCGCGAGUUCAAGGAGCAUCUACAACUGGCUCAGAACCGCAUAAAGCAGUUCGCUGACCGACGCAGGGUCGACCGCGAGUUCCAAGUUGGCGACUUUGUAUAUCUCAAAUUGCAACCCUACCGCCAGCUCACAGUCGCCAUAAGAAAGAAUGUGAAACUCACCUCAAGAUAUUACGGGCCGUUCGAAGUUUUAGAGAAAAUCGGAAUGGUCGCCUACCGCUUACGACUCCCAGAAGGGUCAAAAAUUCAUCCUGUAUUUCACGUGUCCCUUCUCAAGAGGAGUCCAACAGCGGGGAGACCUGUUUCGCCUACCGUGCCAUUGGUCGGCGAAGAGGGACAACUACUGGCGGAACCGGAGAGCAUUCUGGACCGACGGAUGGUUCGACGGGGCAACAAGGCUGCUACUCAAGUGCUCGUCAAAUGGAGCAACUUGCCGGAGGAAUCGGCGACUUAGGAGGAUUAUCAAUUCCUCAAGUCCCAGUUCCCCAGAGUUGAUCCUUGAGGACACGGAAGUUUUUGAGGGGAAGGGAUUGUCAUGGUGCUACCAUGACCGCGAGGGGAGAAGCGUAGGAGUAGGAGAAAAUGGAGGUACCAGAGGAGACAAUAGAGGAUCCAUGGCAAGAGAAGCAAUGGCGGCGACGCGCUUGGUAAAGAAGAAGGCUAUUCGGGUUUUGGGCUCGCGCUCCCUCACUGUAGCCUCACUCAAUCCGCCUCCGAAGCCAUAGCGGUGCGAUCAAUGGGAAAGGGUCGGUUCGAGUGCCGGGUUCGCACCUCCUCACUGUGACGACGGGACCCGGAUCCGCAUUUAGCUUCGGAUGCGGGUUGAACUAUGUGUGGGCCGGCCCAAGUGAGGGAUCCAGCGUGAGACAGAAUUGAACCCACUAUGGCUCAUGUAGUUUAAAUACAAUUACAUUCAUAUCCAUGUCCAUUGUAACUCUUACAAUCUGGUCCUCGUAAUUAGUAGAGUAUAAAUAGCAAGCUAACAAUGUAAUGAAUUAAGCAGAAAAUGGAAUAAAAUCCCUUUUUCCCCAAUUAUCUCCCUUCUCUUCUUCUCCUCUCGAUCCCUCUUCUUCUCCUCUACUCGAACUCCUUUCUCCUCUUCUCUCAAGCUCCUCUCUAUCCCUGGAUCCUACUCAUCUCAUCCCCAUCAAGCUGAUGACCAAUUGAAUUAGAAGGUGGAGCUAUUUCCCAUCAUCUCCAAUUCUAAUCAUCCUCAGCAUCAUCCAGCUUCACAGGAGAGCAAUUGGAUCAGGUAUCCAAUUUACAUCAUCUCCCAUAGCCAUCCAAACUGAUAUGGUGGUUGCUAUAGGAUCAGUUUAUUACAUGUUGCUUUGAUUCGAAUAAUCAGGUGGGAAAGAACUGACGACAACUUACACAACAACCCACUGCAGCAUUCGCGAAAAGGCGAGCAUCUCGAUAGCAGACAAUCAAAUCACAGCUUGAACAACAACAACAACAAAGAUGUUCAUCGACGUCGCCUAGGGCAAAAGAUGUACAGAGACGGACAACAAACCGAAGAACCCAACCAACGGUACUUGAAACUCAUUAAGGGAAGCAGUGAGUGGCUUACAAACAUCAAGACCAUAUUUGAUCCUUAGUAAGUCAUGCUUAAGGUGCCCAACACUAGGAGGAAAACAAUUACUCCAAACUUUUAUUGUCUUUUUCAAAACUAUUUGAAUCACAGUUUCUAAAGAAGGGGUCUUUCUUAGAGAGGAGGAUAUUGAGAGAAUUAGAGGAUUUCUCUUCUCACUAUAGGACGCGCUCGACCCAAAAAGGCGUCCAAAUAUUAAAUGUAAUGCACAUAAGUACAGUAGGAAAUGACAUAUCUAGAGGAAUUUAUAGAAGUAAUGGAUAGCUUACGACAUCGAAAGCCGUAUUUGACCUUUGGAAAGUCAGAUUUAAAUGCCUACCAGAAAUCUUUUGAAUCUUUUGAAUAUGUUUGGUCAAGCAAGAUAACGCUAUUUGUGGGCUACUAAAGAUCAGGCCCAAUUCAGGUAGCCCCUUAAGCACUUGGUUGGAUCAAACUGAAAGAGAUAUAAACAAACAGUAAGGACAAGUGCAGCCCCAUCCGGUUUUAAAAAUAAGUCUAAAGGACAAAAGGAAGUGGACCUACAAGAAAGCUAGGAACUAGGCCUUGAGCAGAGUCUAGACUGGGCAUGUAAUGCAAUGUUCACAACACAAGGAAACACCUUGCCAAAUUAAUUAGGAGAUGAACAAAGGGUCAUCUUACCAACAGAGUGUUGAUUCUUUAUUAAAGAUCAAAUAUGAUCGAUGUGUAGGAACCAUUCUAAUAGAGAAGAUACCCUAUUUACUGGGCCCAUUAACACUUCUUUGAUGUAAUCAAACUUGAUUUAUUGGACUGCAUAUAUACAUGCUUCUUUUCCUUCAACAACAACAUGAACCUGCUAAAAUCAAUUCUCUUGCGAGGGCAUUAUGUGCUUGGACCUUCAUCAAUAACUCAUAGAUUUUUGCUGGACCAUUGGAACCAUCCUUUUCUCUUCCGUUGUUCCAUCUUGUUAAUAAGCUUAUCCGAUUAGUUUGCUAUUUAAUCUCUUCUCCUCUUUCUGCAUCAUCAGCACAUUUAUACGCGACCAAGCGAAUUAAUUACUUUCCAGUUCUAAUCAUGUUGUUAGUUAAGCAUACACAUCGAUCGAUCACCCGUAAAAGGCGGCUUUCACUUUAGAGCCAUUGAUCUCUAUCAUCGACUUCAGCUAAUGAGAGUUGUCCUUUUUCCUCCAAAGGGGAAACAAUACUUUCAAUGAUAUGAACGUUCUCACCCGAAUUUUUGGCACAAGGAUUUAAGAUAAGUGGUUGGGGUUUCGUUUGUCCUUCUAUUUGUUUGACAAUAUUGUUCUCUCUACUAGUUACUUGCACAUCAUCACUUAAUGCAUCUAUAAGUUGAGCAACCAAACUGUCUAUCUCCUUGGGAAUCUUACUAAAUCUUACUAAACAUUUUGAGACGUGAAUGGCUUAAUUAUACUAUAUUUUUUAUUCUUCAUAUAUUAUUAUAUUAUUUUUUUUCAAAGUCACCACCCACUAUUCUUUUUCUUCAAUUCGUACGCUAUAAGCAAUAAACCUCUAAUUUUAUAUAAAAACUGUUAUAUAAAAGUGACAAAUUAUAUUUACUCAAUUCAUUUUAACAAAAUAAAAUAAAAUAAAAUACAUAAAUAAUUUAAAAAAUUAAAAAAUUCAUAAAAACUUUUAACAAGUCUAUCAUGGAGAUUUAUUUUCUAUUUUUUUUCACUAUUUAAUUAGGAUUUUUUAAUAAAGAUGUUAGAUUUUGUCUAAAAUAAUAGAUUUGUUAAUAAUAAUACAGAGAUUGAGAAGAAAAAAAUAAUUUACACUACAACAAAAACGGUGUGUAGCGAUACUUUUAAAUAUUGGUAUAUGUAAAAAAAAGUGCUGCUGGCUAAAUUAUCGACACUUUUAAAAAGCGUUGGUAUAUGUGGGGUCGCUAGGUAUAUAGUGACAGUUUAAGAAUGUCAGUAUAAUCUAAAAAAAGUGCUGCUAAUUUACCAACAUUUAUUUAAGCAUUCAGCAACCGCCGGAAUUCUGCCUUGUUGGCUGCGGUAGCGGAGGAGGAGGAGAGCGAAGAGCUCUUCGUCUAGGAUUUUAGUGGAUUGAGGGGAGAAGGAGAGAUGGUGAUCGAUUUUUCUAUUUUUCUUUUUUCCUUUUUUGUUUGUAAUAGGGCCGAAUGGGCGAGGUGGGAUGGGUUGAAUAGAGUAAUCUUUUAUAUUUGGUAAUUGGAUUGGGUUUUAUAUCUAGGCCUUGGUAUAUUUUUUUCAAAUUUUGGCAUAAAUGGAAUACUUACACAAAAGUGUUUCAAACAUAUGUCCCUAUAACGUAAUUCUGUUGUAGUGUUACUGAUAUUCAUAAGAAAUGAAAAUAGCGCAAGAUGGAAAAAUAAAAAUAAAUCUAAAAUACAAUAUAAAAAUUGAUGAAAUACAGUAAUACAUAGUGUUCUAAAAGAAUUAUAUAAUAUAAUUAUAUAAAGUAUAGUAUAAUAGAAUAUAAUUAAGGAGAUUCGAGUUAAUAUGUCAUUUUUCUGACCGCUUAAACUUUUUUAAAAAAUAUCAAUUACUAUAUAGAUUAAAUCAGAAUGAGAGAUCCUCAUUAAGUUAAUAUCAAUUACAAUAUUUUAAUAAUUAUUUCAAAUUAAUAUAUAAAAAUUUGUAUAUCAUAUUUAUUCAAAAAUUUAUAAUAUAAAAUUUAUAUUUUAAAAAGUAAAUUUAUUUAUUAUACACUAUUAGAAAAUAUCUGUCAUAUUCUAACUCAAUUUAAAUAGUUAUUACUAAUAAUAAUUAUAUAGUUUUUUUUAAAAUUUUUAUAAAAUUUAUAUAUAGUGUAGAUAUACAUAUAUAAUAUAUAUUGAAUAUUUUUUUAUAUUUUUUAAUUCUAGUGAAUUUAAAAAUUUAAAUACAUAUUUUAAAUUAAAAGUAUCAAAAUUAAAAAGUUAAUAUAAUAAUAAAAAAUUAGUACAUAGAAUAGAGAUAAUAUAUAAAUAUUUAUCUUAAUAAGAAAAGAUAUUGAAUGAUAAAAAUAUUUAAUAAAAAUAAAAUAUUAAUAAUUGGAGAAAAAAGAGGAACUAUCAUUACGUUAUUUAAUUUGUGUACAAAAAAGAUAAAUGUUGAAAUGGGUCUGUCAACAGAGCGAAAUUUAAAAUACGUGCUUUUAUAUAUAGUACAGAUAUUUUGGCACGGGAGCUAUAUUUGGAUGUCAACAGAUCGGAUUCAAAAUAGAUUUUCAAAAAUUCAAAUUCAAACCCGACUAUCAAAAUCAAAAUUCGCAUAAAUCCGAAUCUGACAAAUUCUAGAAAUCCAUAUCCAAAUCGAAUCCAACUGAAAAUUUGGAACCCAAGCCUGAACUUGAAAAUUCAAAUUAGAAAUAAUUAUUUCUCUUCACCAUAUUUCAAAUAUAUUUACAUUAAAUUUAAAAUUUUUAAACACAAAUUCAAAUAUAACAUCAAAUAUAUAUAUAUGGAGUCCGGCUACUAUACUAUCGGUAGCACGGAGGCCUCCGUGCUACCAAAUUGUUUUCGAUAAUGCGGCUUCUGAAUCGAUGAUCAACUCUGUUAAACUUGAUCUACACAAUUGAAAUUGUUUGGAAAUAAAAUUUUAUAAUUUUUCGUUAUCAUUUAUCUAUCAUACAAGUAAUCUAAACAUGAAUGACUAGAAAGAAAAAUCUCAUAAAAAAUGAUUAUAAAAGAUUUGAAUUUAUGAUCGGAGGUACUGAUCUUACUAUAAUAGUGAGAAGAAUUUUAUAUAAAAUUUUAUACAGUUAAAUUUACAAACACAUGGCAUCGGCCAUCAAAAAUAUCAAUUUGAGACUUUUUUAUCACUAGUCAAAUAAUGUCGAAAAAGAAAAGAAAUUUGGUUUCUAAAUUUUUCCAAUAGCGUAUAUCAUGUCUAACGGAGCCAAUCGUUGAUUUGGAAGCAGUAUAAUAAAAAAUAAUUUAGUAGCACGGAAGUCUUCAUGCUACUAAUAGUAUAGUAGCGUACUCUGUAAUAUCUAGGAUAUUUUGAAAUGAGGAAUUCAAAUAAAAUUGAAUUUGAAUUCAAAUUUCGAAUUUGAUAUAUAUAUAUAUAUAUAUAGUGUGUCUGGUAUGCUUAUGGAAGCACGGAGCGCUCCGUGCUUCCACUUUGUUUUCGAUGUUCGGACUUUCGAAUCGACGAUCGGCUCCGUUAGACUUGAUCUAGAGUAUUUGAAGUAUCUAGAAAAUAAAUUUUGCGAUUUUUCGAUAUCAUUUGCCUAGUGAUUGAAGUGGCUCAAAAUCAACGGUUAAAAAUAAAAAUCUUACAAAAUAUGAUGAUAUGACAUUAAAAUUUUAGAUCAAAGUUAUUGAUCUUGUUUUAUAUGGUAUAAAGAAUUUUCUAUCAAAAUUUCAUGNNNNNNNNNNNNNNNNNNNAUAUAUAUAUAUAUAUAUAUAUAUACACACACGUGGCUAUAUAUAUGUGAACCGAGAGAGAGUGUCGAUUGAUGCGAAUUUGUGACCGCAAAACAAAAAUGUGAUCUCAAAGGUCCAGUAGUGUAGGACGCACCAGUGCAGUCCGUUCAUAAAUCUAAUGGAUGGAUUUAUCGCAUUUGCGUGAAAACUGAAGAAGUGUCAAAUUGAAAAAAAAAAAUUGUAUUUUAGAAAAUUCCCCAACAUUUUAUGUUCUGAUUCGCGUCAAAUCACACGUGGCGGUGCCGUUCAGUGUUCUACGCAUGCUGUUAGGGACUUGGCAAAAAAGUUUGGAAAAUUGUGUGCUUUUCUACAAAAAUGCCAAAUAAGGCUUUUUGACUGCUAGGGAUUUUCAUUUCGUCCCCACUCUCUAACCCUAGCCUCACCCUCUUCCCUCAUCACAGCCACCUCCCCACCUCCCUACUAUUGCGCCAUGCACUGCUACCCUGCUGGACACCACCCCCGGCCGUCGAAGCAGGAUCCCCUUCUCCUUCUACCACUUUUCCUCUCUUCCUCCCUUUCUCUCUCUCCCUGUUCUGUGAGUCUGAGCAAUAGGGGGACCUGAGACCACCACCCUUGGGUUGCCCUUGAACUUCCCAACUUUCGGUCGCCUCUCCCGACGUUCCCAUGCCCUGCCGGCGCCGCCACAGCCGCUAGGAUCCACACUCGACCAGCCACAGGCAGAGAGCAACCCAGCCUCACUGAAUCGCGGCUGUCGCCAUUGCCAACUCUCGUCGUCGACUCCCCAGCAUCAGUUACCCCGCCGCUGCGAGUAUCUGCUAUCCCCGACCAUCGCCGACGCAGCCGGGCUAACCCUAGCUCCAGCCCCAUUGUGUGCAAGCCGAGCUCCUCCAGCCGCCGCUGCCGCUGCCGCUGCUCCCGGCCACAAGCUGUAACGAUAUGAAUUCUCGAAAUCCGAGAGUUGCACCUCGUCCAGAAUCGACUUAUGGUCGAUUGGAUAAGCUUUGGAAAAGCCUGGGAUGCACAAAAUUCAAGAAGUGUAUUGGAAUGGAGUCCGCGAGGGCAAAUCAUGCAAAUUGCAUUUUGGGCUGAAGUUGCUCUCAUGGACCGGUCUCUGGUUGGAGAGACUGGUCCCAUCAGCAGAGGCUGGGGUCGCUGGUGCGACCGGUCCCUAGUCAGGGAGGGACCGGUCCCCGUAGGUGAUUCCAGCGGAAAUAGCCGAAAAUCGGCUAAGUCCCGUGAGACGAGCUCUCGGGGACCGGUCUCUGGUGGGCAGAUCGGUCUCCUGGGGACCGGUCCCUCAGGGAAAGACAGGUUCCCGUACGCGUGCUGUCUGGGAGAGCUCUCGAGGACCGGUCCCUGGUCGGUGAGACCGGUCCCUCUGCGCGCAGAAUGCCCAGUGAGGGCUGUGUAAGAGGUGAAAAGUGGAGGGGCCUUAGGGGAUAUUGUUACAAAAUGAGAGGGGUUAUUAGAGAGGUGUUUCUCUCUCUCUCUCUCACUCCCUCAGCCUCUCCCUCUCUCUCUAACCGUGCAAAGGAGAGAAGAAGGAAAAGAAGAAAAGAGAGAAAGAAAAAGAGAAGAAGAAAAAGAGAAAGGGAAGGAGAAGAAGAAGAGUAUCAUGGAGAAGACCCUCUUCCUCAUCUUCAUCUUCAUCUUCCUCUCACCAUGGAGCUCUUUGAGAGGUAAGUUUCUUGGCCUCUCAUGGUAGAUCUUUGUAGAUGGGUUUUUAAACCCUAGAAAUGGUAUUAUUGGAACCCUAACAUGUUAUUAAGAAGGAUUUUCCCCAUUUCAUAGAUCGAUUUGGCGGAUUUGGUAGUAAUAGCAUCUAGGGCACCCAAAAUGGGAUUUUGUGAUUUGGGAGGGUUUGAUCUCAUUUGACCCUCUAUUAACCUAAUUGGUAGGUAACGAAACACGUUGGCGAAGUCGGUUCGGCAAUUAGACAAGCCGUUGCGAAGAUAUUGGAGAAACGGAUGCUUGGAGCUUCGUUUUCGCCUGGAAGGCCGAGGAGACGUCCAUAAAUCGUGAAAUCGGGUCCCAAGCACCGUUACGGCGAGGCGAAGACCGUUAGCACUUGAAACGGCGAAGCGGCGCGCUCUUGGGGAGCAACUGUGAGGUCGGGCCCAAACGGGUGCCGAAUGCCGCGGGAGGCCGAUUGCAAGUGUCGACAAGAAAUCGGAAAGCUAACUCAGGUAGGUUGUGCUUACCGAAGCGACUAGAUCGCCCUUUAUGUCUAAGAUGACUAAGAAUCCAUGAUGAUGCAUAUAAGUGUAAAUAAAGCAUGUGGAUGAUGCAUGUAGCUAAAGCUAAGUAAUGCAUGUUAAUAAUAUGAUGCAAAUGCUAAGUCGAUGCAUAUAAGAUGAUAUAGAAAUCAUAGAAUGCAUGGUUAGCAUUAUGAGAAUAUGCUAGGUAGAUAUGCAUGUGAUCUAGAUGAUAACUCUAUUUUGAUUAGAGUUGAUUGACAUGAGAUACUCGAUUGGACAACUAGGAUGUCAAUUAGAUCGAGUGACACCUAACCUAGUGUUAAAGAACAUAGGUUGAACAAGUGAAACUAGAGUCGAACAAGUCUAGGUGUGGCAUCGAACCUAGUGUUAGCAAACAUAGGUCGAUCUAGUAAACCUAGAAGUGGACAUCUAGGUAAAGAUGACGUGAACCUAGAGAUUGUGCCUAGGUUAUGUGACGUGAACAUAGAACCUAGAGUGUUGGAACCUAGGUUGUUGAGUAUAGUGGUACUAGCCACUAGAAUGAGUUAGGUCGACAGUAUAGGGUUGGCUAUGGACCCUUGACCUGUGGAAAGUGGAUUCCGGAAUCCCAGGACUUGUGAUGACCCUGGUAUCAAGGCUAGGGCGUGUGCGACGACUUCGCCGCCGAGGUUGAUACCGAGGGAGGAUUGGGGGCGAUCACAUGGAGAUCACUACCCGAGGCUUGAACCAUUGUCGUUUUGUUUGUGCGACGAUUUCACCGCCGGAUGGUUAAGCCGACUGAGGAUCAGACCGCCAGAGUAGACUGAAUCCAUGCUGGGUAAGUACGAUGCGGGUGCCUCCAGGUGGCUGAGUUUGACAUGUACCGUUGUUGGGUGAGGUGCGAUCCGUUCGCCGCCAGACGGUGUGUCAGGUCUCAAGCUCACGCAGGGUAAGAGCAACGUGAUCGCCGCCAGAUGGUCAAGUCCUGCGACUUGAGUCGUGCUUAGCGUGUGCGACGACUUCGCUGCUAGGAGGCUGAGACAGAGAGAGGGCGGUAGGCUGAUGAGCAGCCAGUGCGCGGACUAUCCGCAGAUGAUUGACUCGAAGCCGAGUCGGGUGGUUAGCUUCGAUAGGGUAGAGGAACCCUUAUGAGCUAGAGAUAAAGGCUUGAGCUAAGGUAAUAGAGACCUUAGAAGCCAGUGGACUCGAGUGUGAACCUAAGGUAGUAGAAACCUUAGAGUAAAGAUAUGAGCUAAGAGUAGCUAAGUAAAUGUAGAAUCUGUUGAUCUACUAGUUAUUGCAUAGAGUUGCAUGAUUUUCAUAUCGCAUAUUGUGAGGCAUGGCAUGUAUUUCAAUUGAAUAUAUAUAUCUGUUGUAUAUUAUUGAACUAACAUAUUGCAGUGUCUCCUCGGACCUAUCGGUUGAGCUUUUCCCUUAGGUGGCCGUACCCUCUGGGAACCAUGGAGCUGGUUCUUACCCCACGUUGUUUUGGGGUGUUUCAGGUUCGCACGUGUGCGGCGCGGCAGCGCGAGGCGAGGGCAUAGCUUCGUAGAUAGCACCCUACCCCGGAGACCAGAGCUAACAGUACCCCGAGUCGACAGGGCCUAGGGGUUAGAAUGGAAUGACAACAACCAACUUGUAUUAAAUGUAAUAAUAAUAUGAUUGUAUUUGGGAGUUAAGUAAAUGUAAUGUAAAAGAAGAAUAUUGUGUGAAGUGAAUGCUUGUAAUAGCAGUUAGUUUUAUGUUAUUGAUACUUCCUUAUGCAAUCUUGAUUGAUAUCAGUUCCUGGUUGGAACAUUUGUAUAUUGUUUUGAUUGUGACGCCUUGGACGUACAGGGAAAACUCUGUCCGUUCGGCGGUCUGUUAGUGGUGCCGCGACCCGGUCCAAAUUGGCGGUUGGUCGCGGGGCGUGACACAAGCCAAGGGGAGCACCAUACUCCUUUCUCCCUCCACUAUCGACCUUUGUUGGAGAGCACGCAGGUAAGCUGUCGGAAGUCAACCGGUAACAGGGUUGCUCCUUGCUUGGUAGCCUAGGGUUCAAAAGUGAGCCCUUCACUAUUUUCGGUGAUCCGAGGCUCUCUGAUCGUUUUGAAAGUAAGCACGACAAUCCUCUUGACUCGCUGAAAGUCAUGCUCACCUCUGUUGCUAUCGGCUACUCUCCAUCGCUGAGUUUCGACUCCCCCGCUCCUGAAGUCCUUUGUGUACUGAUCUUAUUGAAGCUCUGUCGUGCUCCUCGGCUGUCGUGCGCGCUUCGAACAGUGAGCACAGUGUCGGCACAUCAAGACCUGUCAAGUGGUGCCCUCGCUUCGUCCCGAAGGUGAGCGAAUUUUGGUAACGGCCCUAAACAUCGCUUAUAUGUUUAUAAAGUUGCAAUUGUUUGGUCCCUUAGGGGCCAUUUUGUAAUUAGGACAUUUUGGGCUGCAUUGGGAAGCGUGUGGUCACUAUUUGUGACCCUCUGGAUUAGUUGUCCAGGUUUUAAAGCCUUCGUUCUCUAGGAAAUAGGUUUCGACGCGUUUUCGGUGAAAUAGCCGGUAGAACACAGUUUUCGCGUCGUUGUGAGUUUCCGGCUACGUGGUUCUUUCGAAAAUCAUUGCCUAGCCUCGUUGGCUGGCCACCAUGAUCACCUCAUGUGUUCGGAGGUGAUCAGUGAGAGGCGGAGGUUUCUGGCUCCAAAGUGGACAUUUUCGGAAGCCCGAUAAUGAAUAGUCUAUCGGCGAUGAUCGAGUUGACUUAGAGACUUGUGUUUGCUAUCCAGUAACCCAAAUAGGUGUGUUUCAGGAAAGUGGAUGACUCUUGGUGUGAGUCAGUGCAUUUAGGAAAGUUUCAUGGGUCCCGAGGGCAUCCCGGUGCAUUUUCGGGAUUCCCGACGAGUUUGGGGAUCGAUUUUGAGAAACCGAUCCCUCAUGUGGUUUUGGGUUGUGAGCGAUGUCUUUUGAGACAGUAGGUUUGGUUUUUGACUUAGUGGACUUGUCGUAGGUCUGGUCAACAGCCUGCACACCGCCGGAGCUAGGUGCAGCUGCGACACAGGUGGGUAUUUCGAUCCGAAGUCGAUUUAAUGGUGCACGCUCGGUGAUUCUCCCUUUACCUUUUCCUUUUACUUCUUGUAUAUAUUUAUACUUGAGCCUUACACCACAUGACUUUGAAUCUAUCUCUACUUAGUAUACUCCUCUCUUGUUUGCCAUAACAUAAAAGUAGAGCGAUAGAGAUUGCCUAUACAUGAUUGUAUACAUCAUUGUUGACCUGAGUGGUCGGUUCUCGUAGACGUGCCAUUGUUGACCUGAGUGGUCGGUUCUUGUGCAUACCCUAUUAUUGACCUGAGUAAUCCGUUCUCUUGGACGCAUCGUUGUUGACCUGAUAUCGAAAAAUUGCAAAAUUUAUUUUCUAAAUACUUUAAAUACGCUAGAUCAAGUCUAACGGAGCCGAUCGUCUAUUCGAAAGCUCCAUUAUCGAAAAUGGCUUAGGAGCACUGAGGCCUCCGUGCUCCUAAUAGUACACAAGGCCUACUCUUUCUCUCUCUAUAUAUAUACAAAUACACACAAUUAGGCUAGGAUGCUUCUAAUAGCACCAUGUCAUUAGUGUUAUUAUGCUUUCAACCCUUGGAUGAAGGGAUGUACGUUUAUGAUGAUAGUUGUUCCCUAGAAUUAAGUGGGUAGUUGGUUGAAUAGUAUGAUAUAACGAUAGAAAACUUGAUACCACCAAGUGCUUGGUGCUAUUAGGAACACCCCAGUCGGACACAUAUAUAUAUAGAGAGAGAGUCCGACUACUAGUACUAUACUAUCGGUAGCAUGGAGGCUUCUGUGCUACUAAAUUAUUUUUGAUGAUGCAGCUUUUGAAUCGACGAUUAGAUCCAGUAAACAUGAUUUACGCUAUUGGAAGUAUUUGGAAACUAAAUUUCUUUUUUUUUUUGACAUUAUUUGGCUAGCGAUCAAAGGUUUCAAAAUUGACAAUUUUAAUGACUGAUAUGACGUGUUUGUAAAUUUAACAAAAUAAGAAAAUUUUACAAAAAGUUCUCUUCACUAUUUAGAGUAAGGCCAGUACCUACGUGCCUUUUAUUAUUAUUUUUUUUGAGAUUUUUAUUUUCAACCAUUAAUUUUUAGACUACUUGUUUGAUAGUUAAAUGAUAUAAAAAAUUAUAAAAUUUUGUUUUCAAAUACUUUCAAUAGUGUAGAUCAAGUCUAACAGAGUCGAUCGUCAAUUAGGAAUCUGCAUCAUUGAAAAUAACUUGAUAGCACAGAGGCCUCCGUAGUACCAAUAGUAUAGUAACCGUGUUGGAAAAAUCUUUCUGAUCUUUUAUUAUAAUGUUCUUUAAAAAUAAUUCAAAAGUUUAAUUCAAGUUUUAGAAAAGAUCCGAGGAAGAAAAUUGUCACGCCCUGGAUUACCACGUUUCUCCGGGCACGCCAACAGACCCGCCGUAUACAAAAGAAUUUUCUAUGUAUACGAAGUGAUAGUUGUACCUGUACCUGUAAUCAUACAAAACUACAACUAGUAGUAUAGAGCUGCUAACAGAACUGUAAACAUAUAUAAAUAAACAUCAGGUUCACUAUACAUAUAUAGUCUCCAAGAUACAGACAUCACUCGCUCUAGCGAGUACCAGCAUAAGUAUGUACAUGAACCAGAAACCCAAAACUACCUGUAGAUGGUACUCCUCUAGAAUUGCAACUAGGGAAGGGAUCUAGCUCGCAACUCCUUUUCCACGAUCAAUAUCAGCGACAGCAGUAGCCACAAAAAAAGGCUCUGCAAAAAGGGGUCAACAACUGGGUGUGAGAACUACUGCAAAAAGAAGUAGUCCUCAGUAGGUACCGCUACCGACCUCAACGGCUCACCUACUAAGUCUACAGAAAAUAUACACAAGGAUAGUAAAGGAAGCUGGAAAAAUUCUACAGCUACAUGCCACUAUACUAUCUCUAACCUCUAUUCUGUAGAUAUAGAAAUGCACUAUCUGACCCAAUCUCACUAGGGACUGUGAACGCACCCGUCCCGCCUGUCGAAGCUACACCAACUACCACCACGCUGGGUUGUUGGUGGAGAGCAAGUCCAACCAGGACACUAUGACAUCAACGCAAAAGCACAAAGCCCGACUUCAAAGUGGCACUCGUUGGCGCUACCCAACCGAGUAUGCAAGUGUGUCUCUACCGAGCUCAAUCAGGCUCUCACAAGCUAUAAUCAAAGCAACUGGGUCUAACUGGUCUAACAACCAAAACUCACGUGUGUAGGGACAUGGGGACGUAAAGAGGAAAGCACAAUCUGAUAUAAAUACAGAAAUCUGGGUCCACCGUCAACCGCGACGGCACCCGACAAUCCGAAACACACUACACACUACUUUAAAAAAAUAAACUCAGCAUCCUAGCACGAGUGUCAACUCAUCCUACACUAAUCUGGGUAUCCAUCGCAUACUAACAGCGACAAUACAAUAGAACCACAGCUUCUAAAGCUAAAUCUGUUAAUUUUCAGAAAUGACAGCGUAGCAUCUAUAUGUUUUCUCCUAAGUCAAUUCCAAGUCCAACAUGUAAAAUUAAACUAUUAGCUUAACUUCAAAUUCAGAUUUAAACACUAAUCCAUGAAUUCGAGUACUAGCAAGGAAAUACACAAAUGAUACAUGUCGACGCUAUAAAAACUUAGGAGGUAUUCCGGCAAUUUCGGUAAACUUCAAUCUACCUCGAAAAGCUCGUCCAACUACGGCAAAAAGUCGAAAGCAGAGAAAAUCAUGCGAUCGCCCGGCCUCCAACGGCACAACCGCAACACACGCACGCUCGAACGACUCUCCAAAUCGACGUCGAAAAAUCACCCAAGCUCGAGCUACGGCCUCCACCAAGCAUACUAUCAAAACUAGAGAGAGAGAGGAAAAUGAGAAAUACUCCUUCUCAGCAGGUUGAGUUGAUAAAUAUAAAGAGGGAGUAGUGGCAUACUUAUCCACCAACCCAAAAAGACUAUACUAUCCCUCACCAACUCAAACUCCUAGCUGGAGUACCGGUACCAGCCCGAUGCCGUACCGGUACUCAGCAUCAAUUAUCGCAACCCGAGAGCAUCAGUUCUGAAAAUAUACUGGGGUACCGGUAUUCCCCUGCAUGGUACCCGUACUCAAUACUGAAAACCUGCAUUUUGCAGAUUUCAAUGUCAAAACUCUACGCUCGCGUCGCACUGAGUCUGUUUUGCGUCCAUUUCGCGCCAAAACGACUCCGACUUGUCCCGACACUCUCCAGAUGUGUUGCCAAGUCUCAAAUGCUGAGAUCCACGAGCAACCCAAAAACCAGGGAUACUACAAAAAUAAAUAAUAAUAAAUACUGUAAAGAAAAUGUUUAGAUAAGGUCUGUGGAUCAAGGAGUGCAGAGCUCUAUCCUAGAAACGAAAUUGCCCCUCCACGUGCGAAGCUUCUCGGCAAUUACUUCCAGCGAUAUAACGACCACGUUCUACCCCGUUGGCACGAUUUCAAGGUGGCGCAAGACGAACCCAACAAGCUUCAGAUCGAGCAAAGAAAGCUCAGCGAAAAUCAAUGGCGAGAAAGUAAGAAAAGACGAGGUAGGGUUUAGGUAUGCUCGGGUAUUUAUUGAACUCAUACAACCUCCUCCAAUAUAUAUAACCAAGGCGAGAAUUUUGCUUCGACACGUCAAAUCCGUGUAUAACAAGAUAAGCCUAAGAUUAUACGGAGAAGGAUUAGUAUUACGAUUAAGAUAAAGAUAAAAUUGAAAAAAUAAAAAUAAAAAUAAAAUAAACCGAGUGUAUGGACUGCGCGACGCCGCCCAGCCCGGCUCGUGCCGUACGUGCGUGUGUUUAUACGAGAGAAUAACUGUCAUUUUCUUCCAAGCAACUAGCUUAAGAAAUAAAGAAAUAUAUAAAUACCCUCAACACCCAUUAGUUUCCAAUGUGGGACUAAACCUCACAUAUGAAAAUUUUAUUUGGGCUCCCAAGCAAGACCCAUUAAUUAUUGAACUCCCAAGAGGGCCUAACAAGUUUUAAAUCACAAAAAUCCAAUAAAAUCCAAUAAAUCGAACUCAUAGGUUCGAAUCGUGUAGAAAAAAAUCUAUAUUCGAAUCCAGAUCUGCCAGAUUUUUUUUUUAUAUUCGUAUCCGAAACUAUUUCUAUUUAGUAUUGAAUAAAUCCGCUCCAUUUGAGUUCGAAUUUAGAUAAAAUUUCAAAUAUCUAUACCCAUUAACAUCCCUAAGCUACACACGCAAGUAGAGUCUAGAACUUGCAAAGGUUUGCUUCAUUUACUCUCUACGGUUAGGGCUGGCAAACGAGCGAGCCGGCUCGCGUUCGACUCGUGUUCGGCUAUAUUCGGCUCGCUCGAGCUCGACUCGAAAUUAAAUGAGCCGGCUUGAACAAAAAUAAAAGGCUCGAAAUUCAUUUCAAGCGAGACUUGAGUAUUACUCGGCUCGUUCGAAUUAGGCUCGAAAAGCUCGAAGCUCGAAUAUAUAUAUAUAUAUAUAUAAUGUAUUUUAAUUAUAUAUAGCUUUAAUUUAAUUUGGGGCUUUAUUGUUGGCCCAUAAAAUAAAUCCAACAAGUAUAACCGUGCAAUUGAGCCCAACUCUAAAUUUACAUAACACACUCUCUCUUUCAGACUUUCACUGUUGCACAUAACCCUAAAACAUGAUAACAUUCAAAUUUUCAAAUCCCUAAUUUUUUUCUCCUCUCUCUCUCUCUCUCUCAGACCCUCACCCAGUCAGACAGUCACCCUAGCUCACAUUUCUUGCAAUUAUUUUGUAUUUUGAACUAUUGAACAUGUUGCAUCAAAUUAUAGGUAAUGUUCUAUAAAAAUUAAACUAUUGAUUAUAUAAUGUCGAGAAUUUCAAUCGGCUCGUUUAGAGCUCAAGCUCGGCUUGACUCGAAAUUAGGCUCGCUCGAGCUCGGCUCGAAUUAAUUUCAAGCCGAGCUUGAGCCUAGAUUUAAGCUCGAAAUUAAUUUCAAGCCGAAUUUGAGCUUACAUAAGCUCGCUCGAGCUCGGCUCGUUUCCACCCCUAUCUACGGUUGAGCCUGGUUGUCCCUAGACAAGGAUUCAACACUGCCCUAUUUGGCUAAAACCUUUCAUUAACUUUAUUUCAAUUACGUAAUUAGGCAUAUGAAAGCAUUUAUAUAGGAAUCAAAAUCUAAAAGAAAAUAUGUACAGAACUUAUCUAAACUAUAAAGUAUUUUCUAAUCGGCUACCUAAUUUUUUAAAAUUUUAAUUUUACUAUCCAACUUUUCAUUUUUUUUUUGAUUUGAGUCAAUCAACAACAAGUUGACUUGAAAAUUUAAGCUAAUUACACUUCAAUAAAAUUAUAGUGGCAAAAAUUUUAUGAAUUAUAGUAACUAAACUUAUAGAAAUAAACCAUGCAUUCAAAUUUGGAAGCCAAAGUGCUAAUGACUGAUUCAAAUCAAAUAGAUUAAACCGUUGGAUAGUAAUAUCAAAAUAUGAAAGGCUGGGUAGCCGAGUCAAAAUGGUCUAUAUAUUUUGACAAAAUCAAAAUAGGAUUGGAAAUAAACAAGAAUCGAAAACUGAAUGAUGAUAAGUUCAAUUUAUUUGGCUCAUAUGAGGAAUUGGAAUUGAAAUUAUAUCCAAAUUAACAUUCAGAAAUAUAAAUUUUAGUUAAAAUUUAAAUUCAGUGUCCAAAUUCAUAAUCUAAAUUUAAACUCAUAAUUUGAACUUAAAAUUUAAAUUUAUAAUUUAAAUUCUAGUUCAAAAUUAGAUUUAAAAUUUAGAACUAAAUUCAAAUAUCAAGCUUAUAAAAAAUUUAAUUUCUAACUUAAGAAAUUAAAAAUUAAAAUUUGAAUCUAUAAUUCAACAUUUCAAGUUUUAAUAUAAUUUAUUCUAAAUUAAUUAAAUAGAGACACUAUAACAAAAACGGUGUAUAGCGACACUUUUAAAUAUCGGUAUAGGUCAAGAAAGUACUGCUGACUAAAUUACCGAUACUUUUAAAAGUGUUGCUAUAUGCAGAGUCGCUACGUAUAUAGUGAUAUUUUAAGAGUGUCGGUAUAACCUAAAAAAAUACUGCUAAUUUACCGACACUUAUUUAAGCAUUUAAUAGCCGCCGGAAUCCUAUCUCGUCAGCUGCGGCGGCGGAGGAGGAGGAGAGCGAGGGGCUCUUGGUCUAGGGUUUCAGUGGAUUGAGCGAGAG